AAGGCCAAAGUGACCUCCGCAAGCUUCUGUAUGAAAAAAAGUAAGGAUAGAGGUUACCUCGAUUUCUGGAACACAUCGUCUUAUUAUCUGAUCAGAACAGUGUUUCCACAAGUAUGGGUCGUCUCAAAUGUAAUAUCGAGCUUCCCGUCUAAGCUUGUCCUUCACGGAAUGUGCUAACUCAGUGGGCAACGAACCCGUGGUUAAGAGAUUUACUAUAUCCGCAUACCAUAGGUAAUGAGCCUCGGUCGAAAAUAAGCUCUCAUCAGGGAACUCAUCCUUUACAGGGGUGUCAUCAUCAGGUAUUUUUAACCUAAUCAAGUGGUUGGCUACCAAGUUUUUGCAUCCCUUUUGUCACGAAUCUCUAUUUCAAAUUCUUGGAGUAGUAGAAUCCAUCUAAUGAGCCUUGGUUUUGCUUCAUUCUUUACGAUCAAGUACUUGAGAGCUACAUGAUUAGAAAAAUAAUCAUCUUAGAUCCCAAUAAAUAUGAUCAAAAUUUAUCCAAAGCAAAUACAACAGCUAAGAGUUCUUUUUCUGUGGUGGUGUAGUUGCUUUGUGCAGCAUCUAGGGUUUUUGAGGCAUAGCAAAUAACAUAAGGCUCUUUGUCUAUCUUUUGCCCUAACACAGCCCCCAUACUAUGUUCACUUGCGUCGCACAUAAUUUCAAAGGGGUAGUUCCAAUCUCGUGCUUGUACUAUAGGAGCGGACACCAACUUCUGCUUAAGUGUAUCAAAAGCCUCUUUUCAUUUCAGGCCGAACUCGAAUUUCUUAUCUUUCUGCAAUAACUCACACAACUAUUCAGCUACUUUAGAGAAGUUAUUUAUAAAACGACUGUAAAAUCCUGCAUGGCCAAAGAAAGAACGUAUCUCCCUUACAGUAGAGGGAUAUGGAAAAGAAUUUAUAAUGUCAGUUUUGGCCUUAUCGACCUCAAUUCCCUCAGCUGAAACUAUGACCUAGAAUCAAACCUUUGUCUACCACAAAAUGACACUUUUCAUAAUUCAAGACAAGAUUAAAUUCUAUGCACCUAUUUAAAAUUAUCGUGAGGUUUUUUAGGCAUUCGUCAAAACAAUUUCCAUACACAGUAAAAUCAUCCGUAAAAACUAAGACAAUUUUUUUCAACAUAUUCAGAAAAUAUACUCAUCAUACAUCUCUAAAAGGUGGCUGGUGCGUUACAAAGUCCAAAUGGCAUCCUUCUGUAUGCAAAUGUGUUGAAUGGGCACGUAAAAGUGGUAUUUUCCUGGUCCUUUGGAGCAACUGGGAUUUGGAAGGAACUCGAGUAUCCAUCAAGAUAACAAAAGUGAGUUUUACCAGCUAAUCGCUCAAGCAUUUGAUCUAUAAAAGGAAGAGGGAAAUGAUCUUUUCUAGUGUAAGAAUUCAACUUCUUGUAAUCAAUGCAGACACGCCACCCAUUCUGCACUCUAGUUGGUACCAAGUCACCUUCAGCAUUUUUCUUUACUGUCACGCCCAUUUUAUUGGGCACAACUUGUACCAGACUUACCCAUCUACUGUUAAAAAUGGGGUAGAUUAUGUCAGCACCUAGCAGCUUGAUUAUCUCUUUUUUUACCACCUCCAUCAUAUUCGGGUUCAACCGUCUUUACGCCUCUUGUCUUGGCUUAAUGUUUUUUUUCCAAAUAGAUUUUGUGUGUACAUGUCAAAGGGCUUAUCCCUUUUAAAUCGGCAAUGGUCCAACCAAUCGCCUCCUUAUAAUUUUGUAGUACUUGGAUCAAACUUUCUUCUUCGAGCUUAGAGAGUUUAUUUGAAACUAUAAUCGGUAGGGUAUUACCUUUCCCAAAAAAUGCAUACUUGAAAUGUUCGGCAAGCGGUUUUAAUUCCAAAUCUGGAGCCUGCACAACAGAAGGUAAAAGUUUAGUAUUUGAUGAAGAUGAUAAUUCGUUAACAGAUUCAUAAUCAUUAACUAUAAAUUCAAAUUUAUCUUCAUAAAUGGACUCAAAAGUCUCCUCUACUAAAGAGUCAAUUAUGUCGACACGGUUUACGCUCAAUAUUUCGCUUGGGUGACUAAUAGCAUCGUAAAUAUUGAACUUCACGAUCUCCCCAUCAAAUUUCAUCGUAAGAGUUCUGCUUGGAAUGUUGAUUUUGGUGCUAUCGGUACUAAGGAAAGGUCAGCCCAAUAAGAGGUCUGAAGAUCCAGGAGUGCUAUCCUUCUCCAUUUUUAUCACAAAAAAAUCUACAGGGAAAAUAAGUUCGUUAACUUUUACUAAUACGUCCUCAAGGACUCCUUCGGGAUGCACAAUAGACCUGUCUGCCAACCGAAUGAUAACACUGUUUUCAUCAAAAAACUUGCAUUAAAUGAUUCAUAUAUAGAAUAAUGCAUGACAUUUAUUGAGGCCCCUAAAUCACACAUAGCCUUCUUAAUUCCCAAAUGGCUUAUCUUGCAUGGUAUUGCAAACAUGCCCCUAUCUUUACAUUUUGCUGGCAUUUUCUGCUGUAACAUUAUAGAUAUAUUCUCACGAGCACUUACAUUUUCAUUACCUGUUAAUUUUCGUUUGUUGGUGCAGAGUUCUUUAAGGAACUUGGCAUACCGCAGAAUUUGUCUGAUGGCAUCCAAUAGUGGUAUAUUGAUCUCGACAUUUCUGAAUGUUUUGAGGAUCUCCUUAUCUUCUUUACCAUUUCGACAUUGAUUUAGUCGUCCUGGAAAUGGAGGUUAAAUUUUCGGCAAUGAGGGCUUCGCUCGGACCUGUUUGUCAUUUUCAGGAUUUUUUUGGGCGAUUUCUUGGUCAAGAUUCCUGCUAGGAAUUGGUUACAGUACCUUUCCACUUUGCAGUGUCAAUGUAUUCACGUUUUGUCUCGGGUUCGGUUCUAUUUGUGAUGGCAGCUUCCCUUUAGAACUUAUUUUCUCAAUUGAUGUGGUCAAUUCUCCUAUAGACACCUCAGUUUUUUGUUGAAAAUCAAGCAUAUUAGCUGCUAAUUUAUUGACCAAAGUUUCCACAGAAUUACCUUAAUCUCGUGGCUAUUGUGGAACCUGAUUUUGGUAUGGAUGGUUAUAUCGUGGAUUGGCCCCAUAACUUAAGUUAGUGUAGUCCCUCCAUCCUGGUUGUAGGUGUUAGCAUAAGGGUCGUAUCGCCUUUGUGGUGGCCUAGGGAAAUUUCCCACAACAUAUAAAUGAGCCAUAGUAUCAUCAUACAAACUGGGACAUGCAUCAGUUGUAUGUUCAGGUGUAGCACAUAUUCCACAUACUCGGGCUGGUUUGGCUUUUUUCUGCAACAAGAGAACUCACAAUAUUAGUAAGUCUAUCAACUUUAUCUUCUAAGAUUGAAUUACUUAGCUGGUGAAACCUUCUAAGAGGUUCAAGAUUGGCUUGGAAUUGUUGAGUAUUUGCAGGCAUCGUGGAGAUCAAGUCUCUUUUUUGUUAGGGAGUCAUGUUGACCAACGCUCCUCCACUAGUGGCAACUACCAUGUUCAUCUCUAUGGUUUUCAAGCUUUCAUAAAAAUAUUGGAGAAGAGAUUGUUCCGUUAUAUCGUAUUGUAGGUAGCUCGCACAUCGCUUCUUAAGUCGCUCGUAAUAGUCGUAAAGAGACUCUGGUUCUUUUUGCCUUAUUCCAACUAUCCCCCUUCUUAACUUAGCUGCUCGUGACACUAGAAAAAAACCUGUUAAGAAAUAAACGAGAAAGAUCAGCCUAAGUUGUAAUAUAUCCAGGGUGUAAAUAAAACAAUCAUUCCCUAGCUGAAUCUACUAGGGAAAAAGGGAAAGCACACAAUUUAAUUUGAUCCUCAAUUACCCUCUGAGGUUUCAUACUAAGGCAAACCAUAUGAAACUCUUUCAGAUGUUUGUGAGGAUUUUCAUUUUGCAACCCACGAAAAGUUGGCAGAAGCUGGAUUAAGCCUGACUUCAAUUCAAAAUCAGUAUCCAUAGUAGGAUACGCAAUGCACAAUGGCAGUUGUUCUGCUGGAGCUUCGGCCAGUUGCCGAAUUGUUUGAGUCAUUGGUUGAUGUGCUCGAUUCGGGUUUUCGUUAACCCUAGUGUUAAGCACUUCUUCUGAGGAAUCGACUUCUACAUUUUCGCGUUCAAAUGUUUGAGUAGGGUUUUCGUUAACACUAGACUCUACUUCGUCGCCGAUUCCAAUUUCUGGUGGUGGGUUACUUUGAGUCCCAACCACUCCUGACUAUUUUUUUCGUAACUUUGUUUCCUUGCGAUUGGCUCUUGCAGUCUUUUCUAUCUCCGAAUCAAAUGCAAGAGUACUUGGAGUAGAUCUGGUUAUAUGAAACAAAGAACAAGAUUAGUACGUUACCGAUCCCCAGCAACAGCACCAAAAUUUGAUGCUGUCGUUAAGAGCACCAAAAUAUCCUAUCCCUAUAAAAUAUUGAAAAUAAUAAAAAUAAUAGUAUAAGGAAGUAGGAUCAAAUCCUUAGGGACCGGAUUUGCACAAUUGCUUGUUCCUUGAAAUCCUAGUCAGAAUCGUGCCCAAGAAAACCUACGCACCUGGAAAAGAAAAAAAAAACAAAAUUAAAAGUUUUGAUAUGGAAAAAUAAAAUAAAAAGAGAAUUAAAAGUUUUGAUUGGAAUUUCGAAAAUUAAAAAUAAUAGAAAUAAAUAAAGUUGAGGAAAAGGUGUUCUUAUGGAGAGAUUCCAGCCUCCGAUUGUCUCGAUCCACCUUAGAUUCAAUCCUCGGCUUUUAGGUGAUUCUUCUCAAACAAAAUAAGCCAGUUAUAGUGGAAGCGGACGCCUACGACCACCAGCUCCAAGAAUUUAGACUUACAAUUUUAGCGAAACCUAUGUAACAACCCGAUUUAGGGCCUAGUCGGAACAGUGGUCUCGGGACCACAAAUUCAAAUAUUUAAAAAUUAUUUUUAUUAUUUUAUGAGGUUAUAGCACAAUUAUAUUAGUGCAUGAAAAAUUUGGUGAGUUAAUUUUAAUAUUUUCAAGCCCGAUUGCGAAAAAUGACUAAAUCGCAAAAAAAGCAAAAGUUACAUUUUAGUACCCAAAGGUGCCAAGUAGCUAGAGAAUUAAAAUUAGGAGUACUUAAAGGGCAUUUGGACCCUAUUGGAAUGCGUUGGCCGGCCAGAAGACAAGAAAAUGGGUGGUCAACGUGUUAGGUAUUUUGAUGACCUCAUAUGUAAUAAAUUAAUGCCUAAAAGCCUAGUUUUUUUUCCCUCACUCCUUCUCCCUUGUUGACCAAAAAUAUCAUCAAAUAUUGAGGUUUGAAAGCUCAAAAAUCUUCAGCAACUUAAAGCACUCAUAAGUAAGUGAUUUUAGUUAGUUUUCUUCAAGAUCUUUACAUAUUUUAGACCCUUAAAGCAUGAGCUUUCAAAUGAGGGUGAUAUCUUACAAAAUGGUCAAGAGUUUAGGAUUUUUCCAUGGAUGUAUUUGUGGUAUAUGCUGAGUUUUUAUGGAGGAAUAUAAGUCCUAGUUGUGUUAUAAACAACUUUUAUGAAGGGCGUUAAUAUGAAAACACCUAAAGGGACUAUUUUGCAUAAGAUACAAAUUAAGUAAUAAGUAUGUGAAAUAGUGAGAAUUUGGGGUUGCUCUAGUAGUAAAAAUAGUUUAGCUAGGCUUGAAAUAUGAAGAAAUUCGAUAAAAAUCAAAUUUUGAGCAUGGGGGUAAAAUGGUCAUUUUGUUAAAGUCUAGGGGCAAAAUGGUCAUUUUAUCAAAGAUGUAAAUGUUGGAUAGCCUAAUUGUGUUUACUGACUGAAUGAGUGUAUUUUUUUAUUAUAGAUCAAUAUUUUCCAAAAUCGAGCCUCAACCAGAGCAAAGUCAAGCAAUCCGAUUAAGCCGAUUAGUCAAGUACUUUUUGUAAACCAAGGUAAGUUGUAUGUAAAUAAUACAACUAUAUUAUUAAUGCAUGUAUUUGAUUGUUAUUUGUUUGAUAUAGCAUAAAUUUCUAGAAUUGGAACUCUAGAAUUUGAACUAAGUAUAUGUAUUUAUGAUUAAGAAAGUCGAAAGAUCCAGUAAGAACCCCAAGAAACAAACCGGAUAUUCAUGCCAUGACAUUAGGUUAUGUGAGAGCCAGUAUAAGACCAUGUCUGGGACGUGGCAUCAGCAUUGAGACAGGGCUAGUGUAAUACAUGUUUGGGACAUGCAUCAACCGCAUCAUGAUAGCCCUUAUAAGACCACGUCUGAGACAUGGCAUCGGCAUAGAGGUGAGUGCCAGUGUAAGACAUGUCUGAGACAUGCAUCAACCUCGAGGAUGUUAGCCAGUGUAAGACGUGUCUGGGACAUGCAUCGGUUAAGUUUCGUGCUAGUGUAAGACAUGUCUGGGACAUGCAUCAGUAUGUAUACAUGAGAGCCAAUGUAAGACCAUGUCUAGGACAUGGCAUCAGCCUCGAUAGAGAUAGUGUAACAGCCCUAAUUUGACCCUAGUUGGGAAGUGGUUUCGGGACCACAAAACCGAGUCAUAAAAAUAAUUAACCGUCAUAUUCUAUGUUUAUUUUAUGUGAAUAUGAAUGUGUGAAAGUUUCAUGCAUUAAUUUUGUCAUCAGUAUGUGAAAUUUUGAAGAAGGGACUUAGGUGAGACUUUUGUGAAAUAGGAUAGGUAAUUAUAAAAAGAUCUAAUUGUGCAUGAGGUUAGAAAAAUGUACUUGCAUGUCAAUUAGUCAAAAUUUUUGUUAGUGGCCGGCCAUGUUAUGGAUUUAUGUAUAAAAUAAUUAUUUUUGCUAAUAAUUAAUAUUACAAAAAUGAAAUAAUGAAUAAAGAUUAAUAAAAUAUUUGGGUGAGUGGGAGGAGAAACCAAAGUUGGUUCAUCCUCACUCCACCAUUGCUGUAACUUGAGAUUAGAAAGAAGAAAAAAAUUUCUUUGUUUGAUUUCGGCUUGGAGAAUAUUUAGAAAGAGGUAAGUACUUUGAAAUUCUUGAAAAUUUAUGUAUAAUUUUGGUGAUUUGUUCAAAUUCUAUUCAUUCCAUGAGUUAAAUUUUUGGUUGUUUGGAGGUUUGAUAUUCGGCCAAGUAGUUUGAAACUCUUGGUAAAUAUUUUUCUUUCUUUCUUUAUGUCAUUAAAAGGGAUGGUAUAUUAGGAUAUGAAGAGUGAUAAAUUGUUGUUAACUUGAAGGUUGAGAUUAGUGUAUGUUUAGAGGGAGGUGUCGAAUGUUUAUUGAGUGGUAUGGAACUGCUUGGUAAUGAUUAGCCAUUGGAAUGGCUAAUCAUGAUCAUAAUUGGUGCUAUGUAUGUCAAAUUGCUAGCUAAUCCAUGGAAACCAUGAAAUAGGUAAAAUUUACCACAAAAUAUUUUUUAGACAGCAGUAGUGAAGUGAGUCUGAAAAAUCACUAAAAAUAGCAGAAAUGGAAUUAAAUAAUGAAUAAGUUAUGGAAUGAGUCUAUUUUCAUAUGGAAGAAACAAAACAGAUAUAUGAGCUAUAUUUUAUGAGAUGUUUAAAUUUUUGUGAAACAGGGCCAGAACGAUUUCUGGAUCCCCUGUUAUAACUUUGAAAAUUCACCAUAAAUUUUACAAAGAUAAUUAUAAGUCAUGAUUUAUAUGUACAGAUUCAUUAUUGAGUCUAGUUUUAUUAGAGACAAACAGAAUAGUCAUUGAAGCUCUGUACAGGGAGAUAUCUAAUUUGUAAUACACAGAGGUCAGAUUAGUCAAACCCCGAAACAAGGGAGACUUUAACUAAUAAACUGUACUAAUUGGCCUGACCAAAAAUUCUAGAAAAAAAAUUUUUAGAUAGAUAUAUGAGUCUAGUUUCAGGAAAAAUUUACGGAACUGAAUUUCGAGUUUUGGAACUCGAGAUAUGACUUUUUAAGUGACUGUGAUGCAGUUAGCCAGCUUGUCUGGAAAAAUUUAAAAAUGAAUUGUGUGAGCUGGGUAAGUAAUGAAGUAAGUCCGUUAACACCUCGUGUUCGACUCCGACAACGGUCUCGGGUACAGGGUGUUACAUUUUAUUUGGUAUCAGAGCCAGGUUUAGUCGAUUUUAGGACUACCGUAAUAAGUAUGGGUCUAGCUAUACAUGCCAUUAUGCGUUAAUAUGAUAGUGUGGUGAUUUCUGACGAAUAAAAAUGUGUUUUCGUAUAGAAAUGGAUUCUGAUCCUGAUCGAGUAGUAGCUGACGAUAUUGAGAGUGUAGCGCCUGCUCCCGCGCACGGGACAGCGCCGAUUGACUCUCAAUUAAAUGCAAGUAAUCAAAAUGAUGAGGCAAAACAAGCCUUCUAUGCUAUGAUGAACGACUGGUUUACCCAAUAUGUUCGAACUAAUCCGGCUGUUGCACAACCCUCACCCCCGACUAAUACAAACCCUGCACCAGUAAUAUCUCCUGUAGUUGACCCGUCGAGGUUGAACAAGCCCCCGAUUGAUAAAAUUCGGAAGCAUGGGGCUACGGAGUUCAAGGCUACUGACAGUGAUGAUGCUGAACAGGCUGAGUUUUGGCUUGAUAAUACCAUUCGUGUGUUCGAUAAAUUAUCGUGCACACCUGGUGAAUGUUUAAAAUGUGCUAUAUCUUUGUUACGUGAUUCUGCCUACUAUUGGUGGAAUACUUUGGUUUCCGUCAUGCCGAGAGAACGGGUUACUUGGGAAUUCUUUCAAACCGAGUUCCGCAAGAAAUAUAUCAGUCAAAGAUUCAUCGAUCAGAAACGGAAAGAAUUUCUUGAGCUUAAGCAGGGUUCUAUGUCAGUUACUGAUUAUGAACGAAAGUUUGUCAGACUUAGUAGAUACGCUCGAGAAUGUGUUUCGUCCGAGGCUAUCAUGUGUAAACACUUCGAGGACGGGUUGAACGAAGAUAUAAAACUGUAUGUUGGCAUUCUUGAAAUUAGAGAAUUUGUAGUACUUGUCGAACGAGCUUGCAAAGCCGAAGAGCUCAGUAAGGAGAAAAAAAAGCUGAAGUGGAAGAAAGAGAGUUUCGUAAGAGAUCUUCGGGAAAGCCCUUUCAACAAUCAUUGAAGAAAUUUAAAAAUGAACCAGGCCGAUCUAAAGACACCUCGGGCUUUUCCAGACGAGAUCGUGAUCGACCCCCUGUGAGUACGCGAGUCACUUCGGUUGCCAGUGUUGGAAAUGAUCGUCGGGACAGGACAGAGUGCCAGUAUUGCGGUAAAUGGCAUUCGGGGAGUUGUAGAUUCCAUGACCCCUCCUGUUAUAAGUGCGGAUCAGGUGACCACUUUAUCAAGGAUUGCCCGAGACUGUCUGAACAAAAUGUAAAUCAGAAUGGGAAACCAGGUGCUACUACUGCUCAAGGUAGACCAUCUAGAAAUACGGGGAAUGCUAGUGGCGGUCAAAGAGGGUCUAAAGAUGUUACCACCAGAUCUGAGGCUCGUGCUCCUGCUAGAGCUUAUGCUAUACGUGCACGCGAGGAUGCUUCUUCGCCUGAUGUUAUUACCGGUAUUUUCACUCUCUUUGAUACUGAUGUGAUUGCUUUGAUUGACCCUGGAUCUACUCAUUCUUAUGUAUGUGAGACUUUAGCAUCCAGUAAGACUUUACCUGUUGAGUCUACUGAGUUCGUUAUUAGAGUGUCGAAUCCCUUAGGUCGUUAUGUGCUUGUCGACAAGGUGUGUAAGAAAUGCCCCUUAAUAAUCUGAGGCUCUUGUUUUCCGGCCGACUUGAUGCUUUUACCGUUUGAUGAAUUUGAUGUUAUUCUCGGUUUGGAUUGGUUGACCGUACAUGAUGCAGUUGUGAAUUGCAAAAGUAAGACUAUUGAUUUGAGGUGUGCAAAUAAUGAGAUAAUCUGAGUUGAGUCUACUGUUUUGACUGGAUUGCCAACAAUAAUAUCCUCGAUGUUAGCUCAAAAAUAUGUAAAAAAGGGGUGUGAAGCGUAUCUUGCAUACGUGCUUGAUAAUAAAGAAACAGAAAAGAAACUUGAAUCGGUAUCAGUGGUUUGUGAAUAUCCGGAUGUUUUUCCUGAAGAAUUACCAGGGUUGCCACCUAUUCGGGAGGUAGAGUUUGGCAUCGAACUUGUACCUGGGACUACACCGAUUUCGAUAGCUCCGUAUCGUAUGGCACCAACGGAAUUAAAGGAAUUGAAAGCUCAGUUGCAAGAGUUGAUGGAUAGAGGUUUCGCUCGACCGAGUUUCUCACCUUGGGGUGCACCAGUAUUGCUUGUGAAAAAGAAGGACGGAACCAUGAGGUUAUGCAUCGACUAUCGUCAGCUGAAUAAAGGGACAAUAAAGAAUAAAUAUCCGUUGCCGCGUAUUGAUGAUUUGUUUGAUCAACUAAAGGGAGCCUCAGUGUUUUCAAAGAUAGAUUUGAGAUCGGGUUAUUAUCAGUUGCGAGUUCGAAAUUCAGAUAUACCCAAAACUGCUUUUAGAACGAGAUACGGUCACUACGAGUUCUUAGUGAUGCCGUUUGGACUCACUAAUGCCCCUACAGUAUUUAUGGAUUUGAUGAAUCGGAUCUUCAGACAGUAUUUGGAUCGGUUUGUAGUUGUGUUUAUUGAUGACAUUUUGGUCUAUUCGAGAGAUGAAACCGAACAUGCUGAGCACCUGAGAUUAGUGUUGCAGAUUUUACGGGAUAAGCAGUUAAAUGCUAAGUUCAGUAAAUGUGAGUUCUGGUUGAGAGAAGUUAGCUUUUUGGGUCAUGUGGUAUCUGCAUCGGGUAUUCGAGUUGAUCUGAGCAAAAUUUCAGCCAUACUUAACUGGAAGCCUCCGAGAAAUAUUAUUGAGGUUUAGAGCUUUUUGGGCCUUGCCGGUUAUUACAGACAGUUUGUAAAGGGUUUCUCGAUGAUAGCCACACCAAUGACGAAACUACUUCAGAAAGAUGUUAAGUUUGAACGGACAGAAAAAUGUCAGAAAAGUUUCGAUCAACUAAAAACUUAUUUUACUGAAGCUCCAGUACUAGUGCAGCCCGAAUCAGGCAAAGAGUUUUUCAUUUACAGUGAUGCAUCCUUACUUGGGUUGGGUUGUGUAUUGAUACAAGAAGGUCGAGUUGUAGCUUAUGUGUCGAGGCAAUUGAAGUCACAUCAGAAAAAUUAUCCAACCCAUGAUCUCGAAUUAGCUGCCACCGUAUUCGCUUUGAAAAUAUGGCGACAUUACUUAUUUGGUGAGAAGUGCCAUGUAUUUUCGGAUAACAAAAGUCUCAAAUAUUUGAUGACUCAAAGAGAUUUGAAUCUGCGACAAAGACGUUGGCUUGAGUUGUUAAAAGAUUAUGAGCUUGUCAUUGACUAUCACCCGGGAAAGGCUAAUGUGGUUGCGGAUGCUUUAAGUCGUAAAUCACUAUUUGCUUUACGAGCGAUGAACGUACAUUUGUCUGUUCUAUCCGAUAAUGUGUUAGUAGCAGAAUUAAAGGCCAAACCAUUGUUGAUUCAUGAAAUUCGUGAAGCUCAGAAAGUCGAUGAUGAAUUGGUUGCAAAACGGGCUGAAUGUGUUUCGAAUAUGGAAUCAGAGUUUCAAAUUGAUGAUGACGAUUGUUUGAGGUUCAAAAGUCAUUUGUGUGUUCCAAGAUAUUCAGAACUUAUUUUGAUGAUUUUGAACGAAGCUCAUUGUAGCCGAAUGUCAAUUCACCCGGGGAGUACGAAAAUGUACAACGAUCUGAGACGUCAGUUUUGGCGGCAUGGUAUGAAACGAGACAUUUCCAAUUUUGUUUCGAAGUGUUUAAUAUGUCAACAAGUGAAAGCGGAACAUCAAGUGCCUACAGGUUUACUUCAAUCGAUCAUGAUACCUGAAUGGAAAUGGGAUCGAGUCACGAUGGAUUUUGUAUCUGGGUUGCCAUUGUCGGCAAGCAAGAAAAAUGCGAUUUGGGUUGUUGUUGAUAGACUGACUAAGUCGACUCAUUUUAGUCCCGUACGUACGGAUUAUUCACUGGAUAAACUAGCUGAAUUGUAUGUUUCUCAGAUUGUAAGAUUACACGGGGUACCUAUUUCUAUUGUAUCGGAUAGAGAUCCGAGGUUCACCUCGCGAUUUUGAAAGAAAUUGCAAGAAGCUUUGGGUACCAAGUUGCAUUUUAGCACCGCUUUUCAUCCCCAGACUGAUGGUCAAUCUGAGCAGAUAAUUCAGAUACUCGAGGAUAUGUUGAGAUGUAGCAUCCUUGAGUUUAGUGGUUCAUGGGAACGGUAUUUACCUUUGAUUGAAUUCGCUUACAACAAUAGUUUUCAGUCAAGCAUUAAGAUGGCACCUUACGAGGCUUUGUAUGGUCGUAAAUGCCGUACACCGUUGUUUUGGAUCGAGCUUAGUGAAAAUAAAAUCUUCGGGGUUGAUUUGAUUAAAGAUGCUGAGUAGAAAGUAAAAGUAAUCCGUGAAAGUCUGAAAGCAGCUUCAGAUCAUCAGAAGUCGUAUGUGGAUUCAAAACGAAAAGACAUUGAAUAUCAGGUCGGAGACAAAGUGUUUCUUAAAGUUUCACCUUGGAAAAAAGUGCUUAGAUUUGGCCGUAAAGGCAAAUUGAGUCCGAGGUUCAUCGGGCCAUAUGAAAUAUCCGAAUGAAUUGGGCCAGUCGCAUACAGAUUGAUUCUACCCCCUGAACUUGAAAAGAUUCACAACGUUUUUCAUGUCUCGAUGCUUCGACGAUAUAGAUCCGAUCCAUCGCACAUAAUUAAUCCAUCAGAGGUUGAAAUUCAAUCUGAUUUGAGUUAUGAAGAAGAACCGAUUCGUAUCCUAGCUCGCGAGGUGAAAGAGUUGCGAAACAAAAGGGUUCCGUUAGUAAAGGUGUUAUGGUUCAAACACGGGAUCGAAGAAGCUACUUGGGAAACCGAGAACUCUAUGAAAGAACGAUACCCAAAUCUAUUUACCGGUAAGAUUUUCGGGGACGAAAAUUUCUUAAGUGGGGGAGAGUUGUAACAGCCCUAAUUUGACCCUAGUUGUGAAGUGGUUUCGGGACCACAAAACUGAGUCAUAAAAAUAAUUAACCGUCAUAUUCUAUGUUUAUUUUAUGUGAAUAUGAAUGUGUGAAAGUUUCAUGCAUUAAUUUUGUCAUCAGUAUGUGAAAUUUUGAAGAAGGGACAUAGGUGAGACUUUUGUGAAAUAGGAUAGGUAAUUAUAAAAGGAUCUAAUUGUGCAUGAGGUUAAAAAAAAGUACUUGCAUGUCAAUUAGUCAAAAUUUUUGUUAGUGGCCGGCCAUGUUAUGGAUUUAUGUAUAAAAUAAUUAUUUUUGCUAAUAAUUAAUAUUACAAAAAUGAAAUAAUGAAUAAAGAUUAAUAAAAUAUUUGGGUGAGUGGGAGGAGAAACCAAAGUUGAUUCAUCCUCACUCCACCAUUGCCGUAACUUGAGAUUAGAAAGAAGAAAAAAAUUUCUUUGUUUGAUUUCGGCUUGGAGAAUAUUUAGAAAGAGGUAAGUACUUUGAAAUUCUUGAAAAUUUAUGUAUAAUUUUGGUGAUUUGUUCAAAUUAUAUUCAUUCCAUGAGUUAAAUUUUUGGUUGUUUGGAGGUUUGAUAUUCGGCCAAGUAGUUUGAAACUCUUGGUAAAUAUUUUUCUUUCUUUCUUUAUGUCAUUAAAAGGGAUGGUAUAUUAGGAUAUGAAGAGUGAUAAAUUGUUGUUAACUUGAAGGUUGAGAUUAGUGUAUGUUUAGAGGGAGGUGCCGAAUGUUUUAAAAAAAAAAGUGUAAUUGAGGUUAUAACAUUCGGUUAAGUAAUAUGGGUGCUAGCAAAUUUAGUAUAUUGUAUAGUUAUUAAUUGUCUUGUAUUAGAUGCUUUUUGAAGGCUAAUAAAUGGCUAAUAAGAUGUUGUUAGGAAAUUUUAGUUAGCUAUGUUGAAGCAUUCGGUAUUUCCUAUAAUAAUAGGUAUAAGAUUAGAAAUUAUAGUAAGUAAGUUGUAAUCCUAUAGGAGCAAGAUAGAAUCGGUUAUUUAAGUAAUGGAGUGAAUCGGUCAUUGUGUGGCAUAGAUAAAACCAAUAUGAAAUGGUUACAUUGAUCAUGGAAUGAAAAUCUUUUUAUAGAAGUUAAAUUUGUUUGAUUAGGGCCGAAUGGGGUUUAUAAAGUAAUGACAUGUUAAAUAUUUAUUUAUGUGAAUCCGAGGUUGUGCAUAAGACUAGUAAUCAUUCAAUUGUGAUAGUCACACAUAGGCAUAGAUAUACAAAUGCCUUGUGUAUGUACCUUGAGUCGUAGAGGCGUUUGGAUACAUAUAGUUAAACUUGUGUAUAUAAAGCAUGGUAAGUUAUGUAAAUUUUGGUUUGUGUAUGCGAAAUAGAUGUCGGUGUAAUAGGCAUAAAAUAAUAACAACAAUCGUAGCCUAUUCUAUAAAACAUAUUAUGUUUCGAAGUUAUAUGAUUGUUUAUUGUGACUACUAAACUAAGAAGUAAAACCGAGUAAAUAAUUUAAAUAAAUCUAUUUGUUUUAAUUAAGCUUAAGAGCAAAAGGGGUUUAAAUCAGAAAAGGGAAAGGAGAAAGCAGUCGAGUAGAUAAUCCGCAACGGUUCAAGCAUCCGAGGUAAGUUUUAAGUGGUCACCUUUAAAAUAUAUAAAUGAUAAUGUCUUAGUAUGAAUACAUUAGUUGAAUCGUAAUCUUUGGUCCCACUUGUAGUAAAUUAUGUGAUAAAUGAUUUAUAUAUAUGCCAUAUAGAUGAGUGAUCACUAUAAGUUAAGAUUAAAUGGUGAUAUGGUUAUAUAUAUAUGUAUAUAUUAUUAUCUGUGUGGAAUUUUUGAACCGAAAUGAAAAUGGUCAUAUUCAUAUGGAGCUUGUAUCUGAAUGUAGUAAAUGACUGCUAAUGUAGUAAGUUGAAUGGGAUGUGUGAGUAUAUAAUUAAAUAGGCAAAAUUUAUGUGGUAUUAUAUCCGGGUUAAAUCUUGCAGGCUUAAUGCUGGUAUUAUAUCUGGACUUAUAGUCCGCAGGCCUAGUGCUGGUAAUAGAUAUCCGGGUUAAAUCCCACAGGCUUUGUGCUAGAAAUUGGAAACGGGUUUUAAAAAAACCUAGCAGGCUUAAUGCCGGUGAUUUGAGUAAGAUUGUGAUUUCGAAUGUUCGGAUGAAACCACCAUUGAAAUUGUUCAAUGCAUUAAGUUGUUCAGGUAUGUAUUAUAUACCUGUAUAUGUUAGAUUGAUCAGAAUUGAAUCAUGAAUGUCAAACGAGAAGUAUAUGUAAAAAUCUCAUAUGUGUAUUCGAUUAUGGUGAAAGGUCACAUGAGAUGCUUUUCGAAUUCUUAUGAUCUUAUUUUUAAUUUCAAUAAUCGAUCUAUAAGUAAAUUAAUGGUUUGCAUUGCUUAAAACUUACUAAGCAUAGUAAUGCUUACUCUGUUACCUUAAUUCUCUAUUUUGUAGAUUUUGUUCGUCAACUACGGUCUUGGAAGUGUCAAAGUCGAAGUCAUCCACACUAUCUAAGCCCCUUUUUGAUACUCUUUCAGUCGAACUUUGAUAAUGGCAUGUAUAGGACUGACCUUUGUUGUUAAUUAUCUUUUGGUAAUGUAUAUUCGUAUAGCCAAGCGAAAAUGGCUUGUAUAUGUUGAGUAUGGCAUUAUAAUCAUUUUGUAUAUAUGGUCUUAUGAUAUGGUUAUUGAGUGGUAUGGAAAUGCUUGGUAAUGAUUAGCCAUUGGAAUGGCUAAUCAUGAUCAUAAUUGGUGCUAUGUAUGUCAAAUUGCUAGCUAAUCCAUGAAAACCAUGAAAUAGGUAAAAUUUACCACAAAAUAUUUUUCAGACAGCAGUAGUGAAGUGAGUUUGAAAAAUCACUAAAAAUAGCAAAAAUGGAAUUAAAUAAUGAAUAAGUUAUGGAAUUGAAGCUUGAUGAGUCUAUUUUCAUAUGGAAGAAACAAAACAGAUAUAUGAGCUAUAUUUUAUGAGAUGUUUAAUUUUUUAUGAAACAGGGCCAGAACGAUUUCUGGAUCCCCUGUUAUAACUUUGAAAAUUCACCAUAAAUUUUACAAAGAUAAUUAUAAGUCAUGAUUUAUAUGUACAGAUUCAUUAUUGAGUCUAGUUUUAUUAGAGACAAACGGCAUAGUCAUUGAAGCUCUGUACAGGGAGAUAUCUAAUUCGUAAUACACAGAGGUAAGAGUAGUUGAACCCCGAAAUAGGGGAGACUUUAACUAAUAAACUGUACUAAUUGGCCUGACCAAAAAUUCUAGAAAAAAAUUUGUAGAUAGAUAUAUGAGUCUAGUUUCAGGAAAAAUUUACGGAACUGAAUUUCGAGUUUUGGAACUCGAGAUAUGACUUUUUAAGUGACUGUGAUGCAUUUAGCCAGCUUGUCUGGAAAAUUUUAAAAAUGAAUUGUGUGAGCUGGGUAAGUAAUGAAGUAAGUCCGUUAACACCUCGUGUUCGACUCCGAAAACGGUCUCGGGUAUGGGGCGUUACAGAUAGCCAGCAUAAGACCAUGUCUGGGACAUGGCAACGACAACUUAACCCAUGUUUGAGGCUUAUAGAAUAUCUGGUAGUAUUCCAAAAGGUUCAACUUUAAGAGUUAAGAAAGAGAUUUAAUAAGGAAAGUAUGAUAAUGUUGUAAGUGUUACAGGUACCUAUUUGGUAGGCAUGAGUAAUGAGCCUGAUUAGAAAAUAUGAUUUGAGUUGAUGGUAAUAAGUAAGUCCAGUUUAUACUUACCUUUGAGCUAUGAGCAUAAUUGAUAAAUGGUGAAGUUGUUAUUAUAUAUAUAUUUAUAUGCAACUUACUAAGCUUUAUUCUUACUCUCUUUCCUUCCAUUUUCUAUCAGUACUGCCAUUUUGCUCGAGGAUCCCUUGAAGUCAGAGAUAUCAAUCACACUAUCAGCCGUAAUACUCGGUAUAGUUGGAUUUAUAUUUUUUAUUAUGGCAUGUACAGGGCUAGACUAGGGAGUUGUAUUAUUGAGAAAUUGUUUAUGUAUAUUGGCUUACGAUAAAAGCCUUUCAUUUUAUGUUAAGCCUAGAUAAUGACUAUUAUUCAUUUUGGCAAAUGUAUAUGAUGUUCCUUCUAUGGAUGAAUUAAUGUCUUUUGGGAUGGAAUUAGCAUAUUGAAAUGAUCUUGUGUAGGUUGUGCAAAAUGGGUAACGAAUGGCUUGGAAGAUAGCCUAGUUUGUCCAAACGGCAAGACACACGGACGUGUGUUUAGACCGUGUGUGACACACGGCUCACCCCCAUGGGUGUGUGUUAUGGUCGUGUGCCCCCCUACACUUAAACUUUUAGAUCAGUAUUGUCCACGGUUAGGCCACACGGGCAUAUUCCAUAGCUGUGUCUAUAAGUCAGUAUUGCCCACAGGUAGGCCACACGAGUGUGUGUCAUGGUCGUGCCCUAAAGUCAGUAUCGCACACGGGCUGAGGACGUGGGCGUGUCCCGAGUCACACGGGCGUGUGGAACCCUAAAGCAUGAAUUUCACCAAUUUUUUCUUAAAUUUUCAGUUAAGCCUAAAUCAUCUCGAAUGUAUGUUUCGGGCCUCAUAAGCCCAUUCAAUGAACUAAUUACUUAUGAAAGUAAAAGUUUUAAAAUUUAUCAAAAUUUUACCGCUCGGCUUUGUAUAAUUGAUUGAGUUAAGUCAGGUAACACCUUGAACCAUGUCCCGACGUCGUAUAUGGACGGGCGGUGUUACAUUUAGUGGUAUCAGAGCAUGAUUUAGUCAGUUCUAGGACUAACCUAGCUAAAGUACGAUUCUAGCCAUACAUGCCAUAUAUAUAUAUUGAUAGUGUGACGAUUCUUGACAAUUAUAAAUUGUGUUUUUCUUAUACAGUAAAUGGAUCCUGUUGAAACCAUGGUAAAUGACAUGGAAAGUAAUGCAUCGACUCCCACAGAAGGAACCGCGCCGAUAGAGAGUGAGCCCGUAAGUAUGGGCCAAGGCGGAGGGGCUAGGGAAGCCUACCUCCAGCUGAUGGAUGCUUGGUACACAGAGUUCGUUCGUGCGAACCCGAACACUCCACCUCCCUCACCUCCACCGAUUCUUCAGUAUGCCCCGAUUGCUCCGCAAGGUGCGGACAUGUUUAGGAGUGAAAAGCCUCCGGUAAACAAGAUCCGGAAGCAAGGGGCCGAGGUAUUUCGAGCUAGUGUAGAUGAGGAGUUGGAGAGAGCGGAGUUUUGGAUAGAAAAUACCAUGAGGGUAUUUGAUGAGCUAUCAUGCACACCUGAUGAGUGCGUGAAGUGUGCUGGGUCACUCUUAUGAGACUCGGCUUAUCAAUGGUGGAACACUCUCGUGUCUGUUGUACCGAGGGAGAGGAUCACUUGGCAAUUUUUCCAAGAAGAGUUUCGAAAGAAGUAUAUUAGCCAGAGCUUCGUGGAUCAGAAAAGGAAAGAAUUUCUAGAGUUGAAGGAAGAUAGUAAGACUGUGACAGAGUAUGAGCCUGAGUUUGUGAAGCUCAGCAAAUAUACGCGAGAAUGCGUAUCCACUGAAGCUACUAUGUACAAGAGGUUUGAGGAUGGCCUCAAUGAAGACAUUCGAGUGUUUGUGGGCAUCCUAGAGUUAAGAGAAUUUGUGGUGCUCGUUGAGAGAGCAUGUAAAGCAGAAGAGCUGGUAAAAGAGAAUAGGAAGGCGGUAUUGAGUCGCGAGAUUUAAAGAGAAGACAGAUGGGGAAGACGCAUCAGUCCUCCUCUAAGAGGUUGAAAGAAAUUAACACCUGAUCGAACGCUUCAUUGGGAUCUUCACGGAGGAACAAGAAUCGACAGAAUAUGACGUCUAAAGCCCAGACCACUUCGGUCGCUAGUGUCGGCAGUAUACGGCCAAAUAGGCAGGAGUGUCUACAAUGUAGGAGAUGCUACUUGGGCGAAUGCUGAGUAAAUGAGAGGGGCUGUUUCAAAUGUGGGUCGUUAGACCACUUCAUCCGAGAUUUUCUCGAAAUAAAUGACAAAGAGAAAAAUCAAGAGGUGAGGGCGAAUAGUACUCCUUUGAAGGGCAGACCCCAAAGAAAUACGGGCAGUGGAGCUAACAGUAGAGGCGCAACUAGAGAUGCAGUGGCGAGGUCCGAGGCAGAAUGCCUACGAGGACUUAUGCUAUCCGUGCCCGUGAGGAGGCAGAAUCUCCUGACGUGAUUACAGGUACUUUUUCUAUUCAUGACAUUUAUGUUGUUGCUUUGAUUGAUCCGGGGUCUACCUACUCCUAUAUGUGUAUGGAUUUGAUGCCCCGUAUAAGCAUGUUAGUAGAGUCCACUAAGUUUGUAAUAAAAGUGUCUAACCCAUUAGGCAAGCAUGUAUUAGUGGACCAAGUAUGUAUAAAUUGUCCUUUGAUGAUUAAAGGUCAUUGCUUUCCGGCCAACUUGAUGUUAUUGUCGUUUAAUGAAUUCAUGUAAUUCUUGGGAUGGAUUGGCUGACCUCCCAUGGCAUUGUAGUAGACUGUGGAAGAAAAGUAAUUCAGUUAAGCUGUGAGAAUGGUGAAGUUCUUCAAGUUGGGUCAAAUAACCUGCCUGUGAUAAUAACAUUUUUAGUCGCCGAAAAAUAUUUGAGAAAAGAUUAUGAAGCUUAUUUAGCUUUUGUGCUGAAUACCAAGUGUCCGAGUCGAAGAUUGAGUCAGUACCAGUGGUUUGUGAGUUUAUAGAUGUUUUUCCAGGAGAAUUGCCUGGGUUACCUCCAGAAAGAGAAGUUGAGUUUGGUAUAGAGUUAGUUCCCAGCACAACGCCAAUCUCGAUUGCACUGUAUAGAAUGACCCCCACUAAGUUGAAGGAGUUGAAAGUGCAGUUGCAAGAGUUAACAGAUAAAGGUUUUGCUAGACCGAGUUAUUCACCAUGGGGUGCUCUGGUACCUUUUAUGAAAAAAAAAGACGGGUCGAUGAGAUUAUGUAUCGACUAUAGAAAACUAAACAAAGUAACAGUGAAGAACAAGUAUCCUUUAUCGAGGAUCGAUGAUCUCUUCGAUCAACUGAGAGGAGCCACUGUAUUUUCUAAAAUAGAUUUGAGGUCGAGUUACUACUAAUUAAGAGUCAAGGAAUAAGAUGUGCCGAAGAUUACUUUUCGGAUGAGAUAUGGGCAUUACGAGUUUCUUGUUAUGCCUUUUGGAUUAACAAAUGCCCCAGCGGUAUUUAUGGACUUGAUGAAUCGCAUCUUCCAACCAUAUUUGGAUAGGUUCGUCGUCGUUUUUAUUGAUGACAUCUUGGUUUAUUCACGUAACGAGAAUUAGCACGCAGAGUAUUUGAGAGCUGUGUUGCAGAUCUUGAGGGAUAAGCAACUUUAUGCCAAGUUUAGUAAGAGUGAGUUUUGGCUCAAAAAGGUCGGGUUUCUAGGACAUAUAGUGUCGGGUGAUGGAAUCAGAGUUGAUCUAAAUAAGAUCUCUGCCAUUGUGGAGUGGAAACCGCCGAGGAAUGUAACAGAUGUUUGCAGUUUUCUGGGGCUAACAGGAUACUAUAGACGAUUUGUAAAUAGAUUCUCCAUGAUAGCUACACCAAUAACAAGGCUACUGCAGAAAGAUGUCAAGUUCGAAUGGAUAGAAGAGUGCCAACAGAGCUUCGAGAAAUUAAAGGCUUUGUUGACUAAAGCACCAAUUUUAGUGCAACCUAAGUCGGGCAAGGAAUUUGUAGUUUUUAGUGACGCCUCCCUAAACGAUUUAGGGUGUGUACUAAUGCAAAAAGGCAAGGUUAUAGCCUAUGCCUCGAGACAGCUAAAACCUCAUGAGAGGAAUUUUCCGACCCAUGAUUUAGAGCUAGCAGCUGUGGUGUUCGCACUAAAAAUUUGGCGACACCAUUUGUAUGGUGAGAGAUGCUGAGUAUUUACAGAUCACAAGAGUCUAAAGUAUCUAAUGACUCAGAAAGAGUUGAAUUUGAGGCAACGAUGAUGGUUAGAGCUAAUAAAAGAUUAUGAGUUGAUUAUCGACUAUCAUUCGGGAAAUAUGAAAAUAGUCGCUGACGCUUUGAGUAGGAAGUCGUUAUUUUCCUUGAGAGCCUUGAAUGCUCAAUUGACUACAUCUAAUGAUGGAUCGGUCCUAGAAGAGUUGAAAGCCAGACCGACUUUUCGUCAUGAAAUCUGUGAAGCUCAGAAAGAUGACAAGAAACUACAAGCCAAGAUAACUCAGUAUGAAUCAGAAAUUUAGUCAGAUUUUCAUAUUAGUACUAAUGGGUGUAUAAUGUUCAAAGACAGAGUUUGUGUACCCAAAGAUAGUGAGCUCAUUCAGAAGAUUUUAUAGGAGGCACACAGUGGUUGUUCGUCAGUUCACCCGGGUAGCAUGAAAAUGUACAACAACCUUAAGAAAAUGUAUUGGUGGUCGGGUAUGAAAAGAGACAUUUCAGAGUUCGUUUCCAAGUGCCUAGUGUGUCAACAAGUAAAGGCUGAACAUAAGUGCCUUCGGGUUUACUUCAGCCUAUUAUGAUUCCCGAGUGGAAAUGGGAUCGUAUCACCAUAGACUUCGUGACCAGUUUGCCUCUAACCCCGAAAAAGAGAGAUGCAGUAUGGGUUAUUAUCGAUAGACUUACUAAGUCAGCACACUUCAUACCAGUGCGUGUCGACUACUCCCUUAAGAAGUUGGCAGACUUGUAUGUUUCUGAGAUUGUGAGGUUUCUUGGUGUGCCGUUACUAAUUGCAUCUGAUCGAGACCCGAGGUUCACCUCAAGGUUUUGGAAAAAGUUACAAGAGGCUCUAGGAACCAAGUUGAGUUUCAGUACGGCAUUUCAUCUGCAAACUGACCAACAGUCGGAAAGAGUAAUACAGAUCUUAGAAGACAUGUUAAGGUGUUUUGUUCUUGAAUUUCAAGGAAGUUGGAAAAAAUACUUACCAUUGGUUGAAUUCGCUUACAACAACAGCUAUCAGUCGAGUCUGAAAAUGGCACCUUAUGAAGCUUUGUACGAGUGAAAGUGCCGAAAACCCUUAUUCUGGACCAAGUUGAGAAAGAAUCAGAUUCACGGGGUGGAUUUGAUUAAAGAGGCUGAGGAAAAAGUUAAGGUGAUUCGUGACUGUUUGAAAGUCGCCUCGGAUAGACAAAAAUCCUACGCGAAUUUGAAACGAAGGGAGAUUAAAUUUGAAGUCAGGGAUAAGAUAUUUUUAAAAGUUUCCAUGUGGAGGAAAGUCCUCAGAUUUGGUAAAAAGGGCAAGUUGAGUCCUCGUUUCAUAGGACCUUAUGAGAUUACCGAGAGAGUAGGGCCUGUUGCCUACCGUUUGGAAUUGUCGCUAGAGUUAGAAAAGAUUUACGAUGUGUUUCACGUGUCUAUGUUAUGCUGGUACAGAUUAGACUCUUCGCAUAUAAUUGUGCCAACUGAAGUUGAGAUUCUCCCAGACAUGACUUAUAGUGAGGAGCUGGUCAAGAUUUUAGCUCGAGAAGUCAAACAGCUACGAAAUAAAAAUAUACCACUUGUGAAGGUUUUAUGGAAUAGACAUGGAGUCAAGGAAGCCACAUGGGAACCCUAGGAGUCUCUGAGAGAACAUUACCUGAACUUAUUCACCGGUAAGAUUUUCGAGGACGAAAAUCCCUAAGGGGGGAGAAAUGUAACAACCCGAUUUAAGGCCUAGUCAGAAAAUGGUCUCAGGACCACAAAUCUGAAGAUUGAAAAAUUAUUUUUAUUAUUUUUAUGAGGUUAUAGCAUGAUUAUAUUAGUGCAUGAAAAAUCUGGUGAAUUAAUUUUAAUAUUUUCAAGCUCGAUUGCAAAAAAGAACUAAAUCGUAAAAAAGGCAAAAGUUACAUUUUAGCACCCAAAGGUGCCAAGUAGCUAGAGAUUUAAAAUUAGGAGUAUUUAAAGGGCAUUUAAACCCUAUUGGAAUGGGUUGGCCUGCCAUAAGACAAGAAAAUGGGUGGUCAACAUGUUAGGUAUUUUGAUGACCUCAUAUGUAAUAAAUUAAUUCCUAAAAGCCUAGUUUUUAUUUUUCCCUCACUCCUUCUUCCUUGUUGACCAAAAAUAUCAUCAAAUAUUGAGGUUUGAAAGCUCAAAAAUCUACAACAACUUAAAGCACUCAUAAGUAAGUGAUUUUAAUUAGUUUUCUUCAAGAUUUUUACAUUUUUGAGACCUUUAAAGCAUGAGCUUUCAAGUGAGGGUGAUAUCUUACAAAAUGGUCAAGAGUUUAGGAUUUUUCCAUGGAUGUAUUUGUGGUAUAUGCUGAGUUUUUAUGGAGGAAUAUGAGUCCUAGUUGUGUUAUAAACAACUUUUAUGAAAGGUGUUAGUAUGAAAACACCUAAAGGGACUAUUUUGCAUAAGUUGCAAAUUAAGUAAUAAGUGUGUGAAAUAGUGAGAAUUUGGGGUUUCUCUAGUAGUAAAAAGAGUUUAUCUAUGCUUUAAAUACAAAUAAAUUCGAUAAAAAUUGAAUUUGAGCAUAGGGGUAAAAUAGUCAUUUUGCUAAAGUCUAGGGACAAAAUGGUCAUUUUACCAAAGAUGUAAAUUUUAGAUAGCCUAAUUGUGUUUAAUGACUGAAUGAGUGCAUUUUGUUAUUAUAGAUCAAGAUUUGCCAAAACCAAGCCUAGACCAGGGCAAAGCCAAGCAAUCCGAUUAAGCCGAUUAGUCAUGUACUUUUUGUAAACCAAGGUAAGUUGCACGUAAAUAAUACAACUAUAUUAUUAAUGCGUGUAUUCAAUUGUUAUUGGUUUGAUAUAGCAUAAAUUUCUAGAAUUGGAACUAAGAAUUUCUAGAAUUGGAACUAAGUAUAUGUAUUUAUAAUUGAGAAAGUCGAAAGAUCCAGUAAGAACCCCAAGAAACAAACCGGAUAUUCAUGCCAUGACAUUGGGUUAUGUGAGAGCCAGUAUAAGACCAUGUUUGGGACGUGGCAUCAGCAUUGAGAUAGGGCUAGUGUAAUACAUGUCUGGGACAUGCAUCAACCGCAUCAUGAUAGCCCUUAUAAGACCACGUCUGAGACAUGGCAUCAGCAUAGAGGUGAGUGCCAGUGUAAGACAUGUCUGAGACAUGCAUCGGCCUCGAUGAUGUUAGCCAGUGUAAGGUGUCUGGGACAUGCAUCGGUUAAGUUUCGUGCUAGUGUAAGACAUGUCUGGGACAUGCAUCAGUAUGUAUACACGAGAGCCAAUGUAAGACCAUGUCUAGGACAUGGCAUCAACCUCGAUGGAGAUAGCCAACGUAAGACCAUGUCUGGGACAUGGCAGCGACAACUUAACCCAUGUUUGAGGCUUAUAGAAUAUUCGGUAGUAUUCCAAAAGGUUCAACUUUAAGAGUUAAGAAAGAGAUUUAAUAAGGAAAGUAUGAUAAUGUUGUAAGUGUUACAGGUACCUAUUUGGUAGGCAUGAGUAAUGAGCUUGAUUAGAAAAUAUGAUUUGAGUUGAUGGUAAUGAAUAAGUCCAAUUUAUACUUACCUUUGGGCUAUGAGCAUAAUUGAUAAAUGGUGAAGUUUUUAUUAUAUAUAUUUAUAUGCAACUUACUAAGCUUUAUGCUUACUCUCUUUCCUUCAUUUUUCUAUCAGUACUGCCAUUUUGCUCGAGGAUCCCUUGAAGUCAGAGAUAUCAUUCACACUAUCAGUCGUAAUACUCGGUAUAGUUGGAUUUAUAUUUUUGAUUAUGGCAUGUACAAGUCUAGACUAGGGAGUUGUAUUAUUGAGAAAUUGUUUAUGUAUAUUGGCUUAAGAUAAAAGCCCUUCAUUUUGUGUCAAGCCUAGAUAAUGACUAUUAUUCAUUUUGGAAAAUGUAUAUGAUGUUCCUUUUAUGGAUGAAUUAAUGUCUUUUGGGAUGAAAUUAGCAUAUUGAAAUGAUCUUGUAUGGGUUGUGCAAAAUGGGUAACGAAUGGCUUGGAAGAUAGCCUAGUUUGUCCACACGGGCGUGUGUUUAAACCAUGUGUGACACACGGCUCACUCCCAUGGGUGUGUGUUAUGGCCGUGCGUCCCCCUGCACUUAAACUUUUAGAUCAGUAUUGUCCACAAUUAGGCCACACGGGCGUGUGCCAUAGCCUACGGGUAGGCCACACGGGCGUGUGUCAUGGCAGUGCCCUAAAGUCAGUGUCGCACACGGGCUGAGGAUGUGGGCGUGUCCCGAGUCACACGGGCGUGUGGAACCCUAAAGCAUAAAUUUCACCAAGUUUUUCUUAAAUUCUCAGUUAAGUCUAAAUCGUAUCGAAUGUAUGUUUUGGGCCUUGUAAGCCCAUUCAAAGAACUAAUUGCUUAUGAAAGUAAAAGUUUUAAAAUUUAUCAAAAUUUUACCGCCCGGCUUUGUAUAGUUGAUUGAGUUAAUCAGGUAACACCUCGAACCAUGUCCCGACAUCGGAUAUGGGCAAGGGGUGUUACAACCUAACUCUAGCCAACAAUCGCUUCUGUGGGAUUAUCUUCUACUAUUAUCUUAUGUUAGAUCAUCACUUCUUAAUGGAAAAUCCUACGCCAUUUUGUCUCUUGGGCUUGCCAACCUCUGACGUAGUAAGCUAACGAACCGACUGUGCAACCUUCCCAAAACAUACAAACGGCCGCCUUUGCACAUGUUGAAAAGAUCACCUUGUAAGGGACAUGGAGGGAAACGUCACCCCCGUAAUGCGGAGAAGUGAUGCAUAUUUGUCUAGAAGGCUAAGUACGGAUUCUAAGCCCCAUGAACCCUUUUUGAGGAAUUUUGACAACCUUCAGCUAGAUAGAUUUAGCGGCUCGUGAUUUUUGGGAAAAAACAAAUAAAUAUAAUGGGAAUGGAAUUUUUAUUGAAAGAAAAUAUGAAAAGAACAAAAAGGCUAAACUUUAUGGGGAGAGAGUGUUACAGAAAAAGAUGGACGAAAUUUGUGCCACUUCAUCCCCUAUUUAUAGUACUAAGAAACCUAGCUUAUUCCUAAUUAAAUUCUAAAAGAUAAAUAAAAAUAAAUAAAGAUAAUUAAAGAUAAAUGAAAAUAAAUCCUAAAAUUAAAUAUAAAUAAUAAUCCUUAAUAAUUAUCCUAAUAUAAUUAAACAUUAAAUAGAGUCUUGUGCUAUAAAAUAUCUUCUUUUGCACUUUUGCCCUUAUGUCUUCCAUACUUGCAUUUUUGACACCACUUUUUUCCCUAUGUCGCAUGUUGGCCCAUUGUAUCUUCAAAUUUGCACUUUUUGCCUUUAAAUUUUCUUUUGCCUCUAAUUUAGUCCCUGAAAGAUAAAAGACCAUAAAUAGCUCAAAUUAGUAGGAUCAUACUCAAAAUAAACAUGCAAUUAGCACAUAAAAUAUGUCGUUCUAGAGUAUUAUCAAUGAAUUGUAUGUUCUAAGAUAUUUAUUGAAUAUUAAAUGAAUUAUUGAUUUAAAAUUUCAUGUUAAUGUUUCGUUACUUGGUGUAGCAUCCCAUAACUCGAUUCUGGUGUCGGGGAUGGAUUGGGGGUGUUACAACUAAGUCUAACUAAAAGAGGUCUAAAAUUACAACCAGUAUGUUUGGUUUGGAAUUGAGUUGUAAUGGAAUGUUAUUAUGUGAUAACAGAAUUGAGUUGAAAUUGAACUGGAUGAGUGUUACAAUAGUUUGGUUGAGUGGAAUGGAAUGAGUAUCUAUGUUAGGUUUAAGGAACAAAUAUUGUAAUAACAUAAGAAAAAAAAAAACUAAAACAACUAAUAUGCCUUUUAUAAUUAUUUUUAGGCUAAGCUAUACUUAAGGUCACUAAAUUAUUAGUAAGUUUACAUUUUGGUUCCUCAACUAAAAAAGUUACAAAAUAGUCAUUAAACUUAAAAAUAUUUUCAUUUAAGCUAUUGGACUAUUAAGUCUUUUGCUUAAAAAAAUUGCACCCGACCAAAUUUAAGUGACAAUUCAACGAUUAGCAAUGUGGAACAAUACCAAUCGAUGAGUAGAAAAACAUAUCUCAUAUCUAAGCUCAUCUAACAGUCAAUGUCAAAGAUAGGAGAAAAAAACUGUUUGGACUUUGGUUCGCAGAUUCAUGACAUUCAAAUCUAUUUCAUGAAAAAGAAAACUAAAUUGUAGAAGAGGAGUGGAAGUUUACCUUUUCGAUCGGUACCAAAGGUGAGAACAUAGAAGGUCAUACAACAGUGAUUUUAAUAGCCUAAUAACUUAAAUGAAACAUUCGAAUAGUUUAGUGACAUAACUUUUUGAAGUUGAGUGAUUAAAAUGUAAACUUACUAAUAUUUCAUUGACCUUGGAUGUAGUUUACCCUUUUCUUUAACAAAGUAUCUAAAAAUGUUAAAAAUCUCAAAGGAAUGGUAUACUUGUUUUAAAAUAUAUAUUUAAAAAUAUCCAAAAAAUAUUAAAAUGCUCAAAUCACCAAUAUAUCAUUUAAUAGUUUUUUUUUAAUAAAAUAGGAAGGCAAAACCCUAGAAAAAUAAAAAAUAUAAAUUACAUUCGAACAUAAAGAACUCCAAGCUUAUCAUUGUCAAGGGUCAACUCAACUUCAACCGGUGGAGCAUCCAAAAUGUAGAAAGUGACAAACUUUGAUAUUACAAUUUUGAAAAGCACAUCAGCAACUUCAUUUGCUUCCCAAUAAACAUGAAGCAAAUUAAAAUUCUAAAAACUAGUACAUAAAGCCAUGAUGUUGUCAAUCAAUGUCUAAGACUCCCCCAUUUGAAGUAAUCAUAUCAACAAUCUCUUUACAGUCACAAUUAACCUCCACAUUGGUAAAACCACAAUCCUUAGCAAGUUUUAGUCCAUCAUACAAUUCCUAUAAUUCAGCUUCCAUGGCUGAAGAUAACCCUAGUCAGUAUGAAAAACCUAUCAGCCAAUGCCUUGUUUCAUCUCAGAUCAAUCCAACAGCUAAGGGGAAACCAUCUUUAUUACUAUAUCAGACUACAUUGAGCUUGACCUAACCCUCAUUAGGUGGUAAUCAACCAAUAUAACUCACACAACUUGUGUUACCAUGUAGCAAUUAGAUACAAGAUUGCUUAGUAUAACAACUCACACUCUCAAAAAUAAAUUUAUUUCGUUGCUUUCGGAGUAACCAAAAAACUACACCAAAUAAUAUCUUUCAAUCUAAACCCUCCUUAUUAAACAUUAGAUUGCAGCUUAAAUUACCACUAACCCAAUUAGAUAAAGAAAAGAAAAAAAAAACUUGGUGCUCUCAAUUUCACAAUCGUAGACAUCAUUAUAUUAUAUUCAACUAGUUUAGUUGUUGUUUAAUAAGUAUUUAUAUAGAUCUUCAUUAUGUUAGCAAGUCUCGAAAUAUCUAUGUAAUUGAGAUAUGUAUAGGUUAUUGUAAUGUUUUUUAGAGCACUUAAUUUGUUCAAGUGAGGAAUAUUAUUUUUGAGAGUGCAAUUGAUUGUCAAACAUUUGUGUUGUGGUUUUACAUGCUAAGUUUACAGUGGUGAACUUAAUAGUGAGAGUACCAACCUUCUUGGAUACAAAAAUGAGGAAAUUAUCACAAGGGUGUGAUAGAUUUAGGUUCACUUAUUGUAAGCAUUGAAAAUAAUGGAUAUUUCUCACUGAGUUAGGCUCCAUAGACAUAAGAAAUCGAACUACGUAAACAAAAUUUGUUGUUCCCUAGUUUAUUCUUUGUUUCAUAGUGGUUGAAGAAGUGCCCACCUCCGUAGGUACUUCUUCUGUGUCUUAGCUUGUGCUUGCAACUGUUUUCAAGUCAACAAUUUUCACAUACAAAAAGUGUCAACCUUUUGUGGCAUUACAACGCCUUGAAAACUUCAAUGGUUGAAAAUUCGUUAAGUGUCGAAAAAUUUGUGACGUUUUGAGAUAUUAAAUUGAAAGGUUUUCCAAGAAUGGAUAUCGAGUUAUUUCCAUAAAUUAAUAUAAGUGAUUUUUCAUUAAUAAUUUAGAUUUAAUUAGUUGAAAUUGAGGAAUUAAAAACUUGGCCUAUGAACUAUUUUGUCAUAAAGGGAAACUUUAGUGGUCAAAUGUCUAAGAAAUAAAUUCAUGAUUUAGGAAAUAAGAGAGAGGCUUAUGUGUUAAAUAUCAUAGAGAUUAAAUAGCUAAUUUCUCAUGAAAUGAAUUAGAGGGAGAGUUAGUUAUUUCCCACUCAAAUUCAUACCAAUGCUAGAGAAAACUACUAUUUUUCUCUUUAUUUUCUCUUCAAUCUUGGAGCAAAAUCAAGCAAUCAAGGAAGAUAAGUUAGAUUUCUAGUGAUUUCUUCAUCUAAUUAAAAGAGUUUUUAGAUUUGAUAUUUUUUAUGGAAAAAAAAAGAAGAUUCUUUUUUUCUCUUUUCACGCUAACUUCUUUAUGUAAUAAAGGAAAAUGCUGGUGGUCAAAUGUUUAAGGAUUAAAUUAUGAUUUUAGAAAUAAGAGAGGGGUUUAUGCGUGAAAUAUCCCAGAGAUAACUUAGAGAGAGAGUUAGUUCUUUCCCACUCAAAUUCACGCCAAAGCUAAAGAAAACUACUAAGGAAUUUUUUUGUCUCAAUUUUCUCUUCAAUCUUGGAGCAAAAUCAAGCCAACAAUGAAGGUAAGUUAGAUUUCUAGUGAUUUCUUCAUCAAAUCAAGAGAGUUUAUAGAUAGUUGAACAAGUUUUUUAUUUUAUCUCUUUUUCACACCACCUUCUUUUGGAAAAAGAGUGUGUGUUGAUUUUUAUAAUUUCUUGAUGAAUUUUGAGGCAAGCUUGUGUUAAUGUGAUACAAAAGACAUCGAAGCUAUACAACAUAUUGUCUUAGAUAUGAUGAUCAUUCGGGACCCUUGGAGCUUGUUUUCUACCCAGCCUAAGCUACAUGGCAUGCUUCACUAUUUCAUUAUGACCUAAAUCCAGUGAGAUUUCCUUCAUUUGCGCAAUGGUGGAUUUCAGCACAAAAAUGCUUGCCUCCUUUAACUCUUUUCUUGGUCCCAAGCUCAUUGCUUCAUUUGUUAGGAGAUUAGGAAAGCCUACAAUACCGUUAUUUUCAAAGGAAAAAAGAGGACUUGGUUCAGGUUGGGAACGAAGCCUUUAAAGGAUAUUUGGACUUUCUUGCCUCAAAUCUUCUUUCGUUCUCAUUUUUCCCUCCACCACCUCUUUUUUGACAUGGAUUUCUCCCCUAGAACGCGGUUUAAAGAUUAAUUGUGGCACAAAUUUCUCUUCUUUGACCUCUACUACUGGUAUUGUCACAUUUGUCGGAGACAACCUAAGGUGUGUAGUUUCUGGAGCUAAUGUGCUAGUCUACUCUUCUUCUAUUUUAGCAACAAAAGCCUCCUCUUUAAGGCUUGGCUCAAAACUUCUACACUCUUAUCAUUGACAAAGUGCCAUUUUAGAAUCUGAUAGCAUGCUCUGCAUUGAUGUUUUAAACUUGGAUUCAGAUCAUUCUUAGGAACCAUCUGCAGUCCUAGACAACAUUCUCAUUUAGCAUGUGAAUUGCUAAACCAACCUUAUAUGAAACCUUUCCGUUGAAUUGUGUUCGCAUACCUUCAAUGGAUUUAUGACAUUUUAUAAAAAUAAUAUUAAGAAAUAAUUAAUUACAAAAAUGGGAUGGAAGAAAAAUUAAUUAUGAAAAUGGCUCUUUUGAUACAAUGCACGACGGUGCCGCUUGACACACCGGUGACACCAUUCCACUUUUCGGCCAAUGAUAAAGCAAUUAGUGCAUUUAAAAAAAUUUGGUGACACCACUUUGUCAGGCGGCACAGAUAUGUAUUUUUAAAAAAUACAUAAAUAAAUAUAGACAGUGAAAAAGAAAAAAAAAUUAUGAGUGUCACUUAACAAAUCGACAGCAUUACUUAUUUCUUUAGCUAUUGUUUCACUUGUUUCAUUGAUGUCCUUCAGCGCUUCUUUCACCUUCUCUUGUUCCAUCAUUAACAUUACCAGGGUCUUUUCCUCCUGUGCCUCUAAAACUAACAUUAUGUUUAGUAACAUCUUUUUUUUGUCAAUCAAAAUUUCUUUAUAAAAAAUUAAAGUAGUGCCGUCGGACUCUUAGGCGGCACUUAUAAAUUUAUUUUUUCUUCAAUGCACAUUUUAAAAUACAAAUAUUUUUAAAAAAAAAUUGUUAUUGACUGAUGAUAACUGAAAAGUGAGGGUGGUAUCGUCAAUUUAUCAGGCGACACGGAUAAAUACAGUAAAUUCAUAUCAUAAUUAAUUGUUGUUGCAUACUUUUUAUGUAAUUAAUUAAUUUUUAAUUACGAAUGAUAAGCAUAUUAAAAAAACAAAAAAGCAGCUAAAACGUAGUCGUUUAAUAAAUAUCAGCAUUGAAACACCAUUAUCAUUUGAUUUAAUUUUUGUUUUUGUUGUUAUCCAUCCAGUCCAGUCCACACUUAUGGCAGGCUCGGUGGUUCCACCAAUGCUUCUCUCUGCAACAACAUCCCAACUCCCUCUUUCCCCGCCUAACUCCUCCACCAACCAAACCCUUCCACGUGCCCCCCUCUACCACCUCUCCUCCUCCUCUCUUCCCAAACCCCCUCUCAAACACCUCAACCUCAACUCCACCUCCCUCCACCACGUCUCCGCCCCCACCCUCCCCGACGACGAUGAAUCCCCCCAAGCCCAACCCGCCAUGGUCUCCUCCGCCUCUGCCGUCUCCGCUGCCAUCCGUAAAGCCUCCACCUCCCCCGUCGACUUCACUCAAAGAAUCGAGAAAAACGACCACCGCAACCACAAAUUAAUCAUGCCUACCCCAGACUUCCAGCGCCUCUGCCUCGAACAACUCGACCUCUUUCGCCGUAUCGUUGACCACGACGCUGUUCUCUCCGUUUAUGUUAGGCCUGCCGGUAGUUACGUCAUGGACCAGCUGGAGUUACGUCGGGUUACCUCGUAUCCGGGAGUCGAAGCCGCCGACAUUUUGUUUUUAGUCGGAAACUUCACUGUCCCCGCAGGACUGCGUGCCGCUGAAGCGGCGCUUUCAAGUCAACAAAUGGAGGUUGUGGGGGAGCAUAGAGCGGUGGUAUUUCCUAUGGUGAAGCAGCCGUUCGUGGUGGGCUUCUUGGUGGCGGAGCUCCCGGGGAUGGAGAAGGUGCCGCAGGGGAGUGGAAGUGGGAACAUGGUUCGUUUUCCGACUCCUGAGGAGGCUUACGCGUUGUCUUCUCCUUCUCCAGGACUGGGUAUGAAAAAAUCGUGGGAAAUUCAGUCUCUUGAGAAUGAAGCCAUGAGGCAAAAUGACAUCUUUACUGUUGACGAGAGUUCCAAUGCCAUCAAUAUAUCUCGAACUUUAGCAGUGGCUUAUGUUAUGGAUCAGGUUAGUCACUCACGUCAUAUUUCUUCUUAUCUUUAUACUACCAAUAAUUUAUUUCAUUGCCAUUAUCAAGCGAAAAAAGAAUUUAGCUUUGCCAUGUUAUGUUGUAUGUAUGUAGGAACUUAAUGUGAUUUUACUUGUGUGUCUUGAGUCAAUGCAACUUUUAUAUUAAUCGUAUUUCUUCCGUAGAAAGCUAUUUUAUUACAGCAAUCGACAUGGCAAAACAAUGUCAGAAUGGGUGCUCUGGUUGAGCAGGUAUAAUGUGUUGCCUGCUGUACAUACAUUUCCUUCUUCUUCUUCUUUUUUUUUUUUUUUAUUGUUCAAGUUAUUAUGGUUUUUCCUUUAAAUUUCAAAAUUUUCUUACAGAUUCGCGGUCCUCUUUCCAGCAUUAGGACGUUAAGUAAAAUGCUAUCCACUCAUGUCAAAGAACAUGAGGUUAGUCCUUGAACCAUCUGAAAAAAUGUUGAUCCUACUUUUCGGUUUUAAGUGUUUCAUUCUGCAAUUCUUUCGACUGUUACAUAUUUAAUUAAGGAAAGCAUACUCUUGUAGAUUUCUCACGACAUUGUUGAAGACAUAUUGGUGCAAGGUGACUGUAUCAGCGGCACCCUUCAAGAGCUACAAGAUGCUGUUUACUUGACAAAGGUCAUUUUUCUCUCAAAGCAUGUAGAGAUACACACAUUAAGACUGUUGCUGCUUCUUCUCCUUUUCAUUUUUCUUCUUUUGACGAUUCAGAAUGUCUUUCUUUCUUUUGGUUGAUGUGAUACAAUAGCUCUCUGUUAUGUCUUUCUGUUCCCAGUUAGUUUCAUUCUUGGAAUUAAAAGUUUCCCUUUUCUAGUUAUCUUCACGCCCAUAUCUGAUUUUCCUAUCUGACUUGUUUUUAGGCUAAUAUAAUGCGCUACAAUGAAGGAUCCUUGAAAAAGAUGCGUAAUUCAACUCAUUCGCACCCUGAGUCGCCAAGAUCUCAAUUAUCAGAUGAUUUCUCCAGGGAUAGGUCUGGCAAUAGGUCAGAAACCUCUGGUUUACUACUAUCCCUAAGUACCACAGAUAAGGAUUUAGAGAUGCCAAUGCCACCUCUGGCUCUUGCUCCAUUACAAGAACACGGAAUCAGGUAUGCAAUUCCCUUCUGGUACUUGAGUUCAUCUCCUCAUAAAAUAAAAUAAAACCUAAUUAAGUGUUCAAUCAUAUCAAUUAAAUUCCAGUAGGAGAUUCCUCUUUUACAGUUCAAAUUUGAUGUUAAACCUCAUGUAGAAAAUUGUUUAUGAUGCUAAUUGUUGGAGAGUGUAUAGAUUACAUAGCCUGAACUUGUGCUGUGAGCCUAGGUUGUAGUCUAAAGCUGAAUAUAGGCUAAACUGCUUAUCUUUCCUCUAAAUAGCCUUGAUAAUAAAUCACUUAGUUACUUUUCAAUUGAAUGCAAUCCAUCCCCAUCUCUUAUUGGACAUGCAAUAUAUUUCUACUAUUGAUUUCUUUUAGCAGCGUUAUUAUAAGUUUUGUUAUGUUUGUUCUUUUCUCAGGAAGUCCUGCAAUAUUUCUGAUGUACUCACUGAUUUAGUUGAUGCCGCGAGACCUCUUGCACAUAAGCAGCAGCGCAUGGUGGAAUUAAGUGAACUUUCGCAGCCUUUGCAAGUGGCUAUAGAAGAACCUGCUUUGCGCCAAGCCCUGAGCAAUUUGAUAGAGGGUGCAUUGUUACGUACUCAGGUUGGGGGGAAGGUUGAAAUUGUUUCUACUAGUGCACCAGCAGGUGGUGCUCUACUAGUAAUUGACGACGACGGUCCAGAUAUGCACUAUAUGGUAUUGUUGGAGAUUCCUUUUCCUCUGUGAUAGCUUUUGCUUUUUUGUUCAUUUUAGAUAGUAUUGAAUGCCUUUAGUAUGUCCUGUUUUGCUACUUAACCAUUAGUACAUGUAUUUCUUUGUUAAUGCUUAGUGUCUCCCCUAUUACAGUUAUCUGGGAAAUUGCAGUUAUUUUACUUGCUUUUGAGUUAGAUCUCAUGCUCAUCAUAAAUGAAAUGUUUUGGUGAUGUAUGUAUUUGCAGACACAGAUGCAUUCCCUCACACCAUUUGGUGCCGAACUCUUUUCGGAGAACAUGAUUGAAGACAACAUGACUUGGAACUUUGUUGCUGGGCUGACUGUAGCACGAGAAAUACUUGAAAGUUAUGGGUGUGUUGUCCGUGUGAUAUCACCUCGGACCACGGAUGCUGCUCUGGGAGCAGGUGGAACUCGUGUAGAACUAUGGCUUCCUUCUUUUGCUGCAUUAUCCGACAUAAACAACCUUAGUCAAGAGGCAUAACAAGAAAGUAGGAUAUUAUGUUGUUUUGAUUUAACUCGGGGCUUAUCUGGAAUUCCCCGCUCGCACCAACACAUGUAUUAGUAUCUAAAUUUGAGGGAAAUUUGUAUAGUUGAAUUCUGGUGCAGUGUAUACAUAUACAUAUAUAUUUAUAUAUAUAUAUAUAUCACGAAGAAGAAAAGGAAAUUGUAAAUGAAAAUGUAUUCUGGUGCAGUGUUUACAUAUAUAAUAUAUCAUGAUUUGGGUACAAAUUUUGAAUUUGAAUUUAAGGGUCUUAAGUGUAAUUUCAUAAAAAAUUCAUUUUAAAACUUAGAAUUUUCAAAAUAUAAAAUUGAUUAAAAAAUAUGAGAAUUUUUUUAUUCCCUUCUUUUCACACUUCCUUCGAAGCUCAAAUAAUAAAUAAUUAAUUAGCUCAAGGUUUUUAAAAUUGAAUCAACAGGUGAAUUGAUUAAGCUUUUAAUUUUUGAAUCAAUCAAUUUAAUCGACCCAAUUGGUUGAAUUGAAUCAAUUAUUAAAAAAUAUUUAAAAACAGAUAAAAUCAAUUUGAUUGUUGGCUUGACUGAUUUGAUCAAUAUUCUAAUUGAUUGUUCAAUCGGCUGGUCCAAUUCUAUUUAGCUAACAAUGUUAAAAAAGUCUUUUAAACAAUUAAAUUUUAAAUAUAUAUAUUUUUUUAAGACCUAGAAUUAGUUGAAAUCCAAAUUUGAAUUUGAAUUAUCGAAAUAAUGAAUUUGGAUUAAGUCAAUAUUUUGAAUUUUAAAUAUUUUAAUUCCUAAAAGAAAUUGAAAUAAUAAAUUUAUAAAUCAUAAUUUCAAAGUCAAUUUCAAAUCUAAAUUUUAAUUCUCUAAUGCUUCGUAAUUGAAUUCACACUAUUUACUUGUUUAGUAAUACUUAAAAAAAGCACUUUUGGCUCCAAAAAUAUUUUUGGAAGAAAGGCUGUGCUAAAAAAGUUGCUUUUAGCUUUUAUGGAAAUGGGAAGUUAAAAUUUUAAUAAAUUUUAUUAAUCCAUAUAAAUAUAAUUUAUCAAGAAGUGGUUGGGUGUAAUUAUUCCAAGAUGUAACCAUUUUUUUAAAUUACAAAUUUUUACAAUUUUUAAUAUUUUUUAUAAUUUUUACAAUAUUUUAAAAUUUUUAAUAUUUUAAUAUUAUAUUUUUUUAUUUUUAAAAAUUUCUAACAUAUUUAUAUUUUUUAAAAUAUAUAUUUGUAAUUUUAUUUUGGAAUUUUGAAUUUUUAUUUAUUUAAAAACUCUUUUAAAUUUUUACAACAUCAAUAUGUGAAAAAUGACAGAUUAUGAUUUAUUAGAUAUUCUAAUCGAUUUUUUAAACAUCUAAAGAAUUAAAUUGAGAAUGUCUGAUAAUGCUUGAGAUUAGACUAAAAAUAUUUGAUAAUUUUAGAGACUGAAAUAAACCAAAAAGAAAAUUUAAGGAUGAAAGUGAGAAAACCAAUAUAUUUAAUAAUUGAAGGAGUACAGAGGACAAGAAAAGCAAAAAGAUAAAAGAGAAGAGCAAUGCCAAGGAAGGAGCCAUGCACCGGAGAUUCGAUAUCCUUAAAUUUUCUAAAAUUGAGUUUUAGAAAUUUUUAUUUUAUAUUAUAAUUAGUGUUUUAAAAAAUAAAUUUCUAUUUGUCUCUUUUAAAGUUUUCAAAGAUUUUCUGAAUUUAAUUUCUUUUAUAAAAUUUAUAAUUUUUUAUAAUAAAUUUAGUAAUAUUUUUAGUUUAAUUUGGUAAAUUAAUAUAAAGUAGUAUCUAAAUAUUAAUCUGGUAAAAAUAAAUUUUAAUAAUUACAAUAUCUAAAUAUAAAUGGUACCUAAUUAUUAGUUAAAUAAAAAAUAAACUUAAAUAAUUAUAAUCUCUAAUAGGAAUUAAACAUUUAACUUAUUUUAUUUUUCUUAAAUUUUAAUAAUUAAAAUUAUCCUAAAUUUAAAAAUGGCGGGAGACUACUUUGAACAUUAAUAUUUAUAAAAAUAUCACGAUCAUUCUUAUCAACAACUCUAAUUUCGCCUAAGUAUACAUUACUGAAUACACAAGCCCAGACACUACAUGGAAAGCCAAAGGUAAAAAGGAAGGAGAAAGCUUUCAACUGCUAUUUUCACUUUGUUGUGACUUCAACUUAUUGCUUUGGAUUGGAUACCAUAAUAUGAUUCAAAUGAAUUGAAAUUUGUACUUCAAUGUUUUUUGUUUUUAUAUAUAUAUAUAUUUAUGUAUUUGAUGAUUUUCCAUUAUGAAUCUCUGGUUUGUGGACUUUUCCCUUUUAUGGUUUCUCUUGAUGGUUGACCGACUUGUGUUGCGCAUUUUGGUGCGGUAAUCUUGCUCACUAAUUUGGACUCCUAUCACCUCACCUUGCGCCCCUUUGAAAUAUUUGAAAAUAAUCCUUGCUGACUUAUGAGUUCUUUAACUUGUUUGUGUUUAAUUCUCAUGAAACUUUUAAGUCUUUUGUCGUAUAAAAACAUGGAGAUGUGCAUGUUUUGUUGAAAAAUAUGGACAUCACAUAUAUAAUAUGGAUAAUUACAUGUUAUUAUUUACUAUCACGAUAGGUUAGCCCAAAUUAAAAGAGAUCUAAUUUGGUUAAAAUUUUAUUCGACUUUAAUUAUUAAAUAAAGUAUGGGUCAAAAUGUAUAGAUACUCUAGUAAUUCAGUUCUAAUCAAAUUCUAAUUAAUUAUGGGCUAAUUAGAAUUUGAUUAGAAUUAAUAUGCCACGGUUAUAAAUAUUAGGGUUAUAGUCCCCAAAUUAUACAUAAGAUAUCUUUUCUAAUAUUCCAUCAUUAGGAAAGAGAUAGCAGAUAUUCUCUGAAUUUUUUGUGUGCUAAUUUGGAAGAUCAAAUUCCCAAGAUCCAGAAAGUUUCAAGAAAUCCAUGGAUUCAGGUACGCUUUCACAUAUAGUUUUGUUACUUAUUUAUUCUUGAUAAUUUGACAUGAUAGAUCCUGGUUUAUUAAGUUUUAUUUUAGAUUUAUUUUAUAAAUCUAACAAGUGACAUCCGAGCUUUGUUAUGUUGAAUCAUUGAGAAUGAAUUGAUUCUUUAUUAAUUUUGGAUUGAUUCGUUUUUCUUUUUUAGUUUUAUGGAUUUGAUAUUUUAAUUAUAUAUUAUGUUGAAUCUUUGAGAUUCUUGAUGAAUUUUUGGGUUUUGAUUCUUUAAAUAAAGUUUUAAGCUUUUAUAAAUAUAAUCUAGUUUAAUAUUUACAUAUGCUAUUCGAAAGAUGAAGGUUUAUUUAUUUAUUUAUAAUCAAUUGAUAAAAAUUGAUUUGUGAGAUUUCUUUCUCUUAUUUUCACACAAUUAUUUUAUAAAUUUUGGUUAAAGUCAUUAUUAAAUUAAAAUUUACUUACAACUUUUUUACAAUUGAAGAAUUCCAAUUGGGCUGUAUAAUUGAUUUUGAAAGUUAAUUCACUUGAUAAUCGAAUAAAUGAAUGUUGGUAAGAUAUUUUUUUUCGCACUAUUUAUUUUAAAUUUUCUGUUUGUAAUUGAAUAUAUAUGGAAUCAUCAUCCUUUAUCUUUAUUUAUGAUGAAUUAUAUUCACCAUAGAAUUCAAUUCAUAUGUAUGAUUGAUUACUUUUGGUUUCUUUUAUAAUUAUUUUAUGUAAGUUUUAGUUUUUAUGGAAUCUGACUAGAAUUAAAAUAUUUGGGAUUAUUUUUUUAAAUAUGAUGGCUAUGAAUUUUCAUAGGUAGUUGCACAUAUAAAGGCUUUUAUAUAAUUUGAGAUUCUUUUUAUAUUUUGUGGUUAUAAAUUUUUUAUUUUUUUUAGUAUUUGUGCGUAUAAAGAAGUUUUUAUGAUAAUGUCUUUAGUUAUGAAUAUAAAUUUAAGUUUACAUGAAAUAUGUAAGGCAAGCCAGUAUUAUUUUUAUAUUUGUGUGUGUAUAUAUAUUAUAUGCAUAUCAAUGAUUUUAAGGAUUAAUGCAUGAUUAUAGUUUGUAUGAACAGGUGUUUAUAACCAUUAUUCAAUAAGAUAUCUUUUAUAGUUUAAUUGGUGAAAUUAAGUUUUGAUGGAUAUCAUUGAAGUUUUUUUUUUGUUAUCGUUAUAUAUUCAAUUUUAUGGGUUUGGUGCAAAUUCAUGUCAACUAUAUACAUAUUUAAAUAUUUUGGUUUUAAAUUUGGUUAUAUAAUCUUAGGUUUUGGCAUCUUAUGGUUCCAAAUAUUUGGUUAAAUUAUGAUGAUAUGAUUUAUUGUAUGAAUUGUGAGAUAUGCCAACUAUUAUGAUUUUUUUUUUGAGAUUUAUUGGCUUGAAAAUAUUUUUCAAGUAUUUAUGUGAAUAUCUCUUUAAUCAUAAAUAUAACUUUGGAUUUACAUGGUAAAUUCAGGGUAAGUUUUUCUAUUUGAUUAUGAAUACAUGUAUAUGCGUGAAUUGCUUUGGUGCUUUUAUCCAUGCUAAAAUUAUGAAUACAUGUGCUUGUUAAUUAUUUGGCUUUAAAACACUAUAUUAUUUCUGUUUGGUUUUGAUAUAUAUGAUUUUGGAACAAAAAAAAUAGUCAAAAAAAAUUAAAGUUUUCGGUUUUUUAUUGCAUUAUUAAAACAACCUUAUUUUCGGUUAUUUCAGAGUCUAUAAAGUAAUAAAAAAAUAGUUUUGACAUUUGACUAUUGGAGAAUUUAAAUUUGAAUAUUGGUAUGUUUAUAUAUAUUUUAAAAUAACUUAAUUAAAGCAAAAAGUCACCAAAGUGAUUUUUUUUGUAUAAAUUAUUUUAUUUUAAAAUAUAAAAAUUUGUGUGCAUGUAACUUAAGUUAUGUUAAUAUUGAUUGGCCCAAAUGAAGGUUAAUAAUAUUACAUGUGCAAUUAUGGUGAUAAACAUGUGACGAUUAUUCGGUUUUACAUGUGAGUAAUAAAUUGGCCCAAAGGAAGAUUUAUUAUUCGACAUGUUCUUAUUGUCAAUGUUUGAUUACUCCACCAAUAUAUCACUUACAAGUUAAUAUUUUGUCCAAAGAUGAUGUAUAGAUAUGUGUACCAUACCGAAGAUGAAUUUCCUGGCGAAAUAUCUCAACCGGCUGCUAUUAUUCAACAAAUUACGGACUGGCUGAAAUUAAUAAAUUACCAUGGUUGCCGCCUGCUAAUAGGGCGAGCAGCGUAAUGGAGUCCCCCGGACGGACGACGUGAGCGAGAGCCCAGACCAUAGCGGCUUUAAAGACUUCUCUCUCGGCUUUAACGGCGACGAAAACGUUGUCCGAGAGGCUUUCCUUUCUGCUUUACUGUGGUUUACCCAUAACCAUCAGCGGAAUCUUGAUAUGAGGUUUUCCUUUAUUCAAAUUAUUUUAGUUUAAAUUUAAAGUCUUAUGCCAGAUUAUUUUGAUUUAUUCAGCUAUUAUUAUAUUUGCCUACAUCACUGUAUGUUUUUUUGGGAUAAAUAUAUAUAAAUAUAUAUUAUUAUCUUUUAAUUUGAUUGAAAGAUGAAAUUAAGGUAAUUAUUUUGAAACAAAUAAAUUUAAAUUUUGGCUUUUAAUUAAGGAUGUCUAAUAUUUUAAAUAAAUUAGUUGAAACAAAAUGCCACCAAAGUGACCUCUUUUGUGUAGAUUAGUUUAUUUGAAAUAUUAAGAUGAUUAUAUGUUUUUGUGAUUCUUGCGUUUAUUAAUUGACCCAAAGGUAAGUUAAUAUUUGGCAGAAUUACAACGACAUCUGUGGUGAUAAAUAUGUGACAAUUAUAAGGUAUUUUAUGUGAGCAAUAAGUUAGUCCAAAGAUUAAUUCAUUGUUUGACAUAGUUUAUUGUCAAUGUUUGAUUGCUACAACAAGAGUAUCGCUUACUGUUAAUAUUACUGUCCAAAGACUUGAUAUUAAUGUUGUGUUUGGUGUCUUGAGAUGGGAUUAGCCAUUAUCCUGAAUUUAUUGUUUACUUAUAAAUAUUGAUGUGAGCUUAUUUUUUAUUCUAUAUUCAAUUAAUUCAUCUUCUACUGCCACAAUAUCUACUAAUAUAAAUUCUAUACCCAUGCUUAAUGGGACUAAUUUUAAGGAAUGGAAAACGCACUUACUUAUAGUGCUUGGUUGUAUGGACAUAGACCUUGCACUAAGGGAAGAACAACAUGCACCUCUCACUGCGGAAAACACCCCUUAUGUUAAGAGGGAUUUUGAGAGGUAGCAUCGGUUCAAAUUGCAUGAGUCUAAUGAUCAUGAAGCACAACAUUUUAGAAGCCUUUAGGGACAUAGAAUCUGAAAAGAUUACUCAGGCCAAUGUUUCCUUGACGAAAUUGAGAAAUGUUUUGCUAAAAACGAUAAAGUUAAAAUGACAUCAUUUCUAACUUCUUUGAUGUCUAUAAAGUAUAAGGGUCAAGGAAAUACUGAGCGAUCUAAGGGCUAUGAAUUUUAUGAGCCCACAUUCUUUUAGGAUGUUGAGUUUUGGAGGGAGAAAUAAUGUUAGAGACAUUGUUUUUAAGGAGGAAUUAGAUUUUAACUCAGUUCCUACUAUCACUUUUGAUGAUGUUUAGGUUCUCAUACCUAUCAUUGAUUAAGAAGUGAAUCUAGAACCUCAAUAAGACAAUGUUAAACAACUCCCUAUUCAAGAUGAGAUAAUUGUUCCAGAAGAACAAACUCAACAACCUCAAGAAUGAAUGUUAUUAAAAAUGUCCACUAGGGAAAGGAUUAUAAUGGCUUUAGUGGAAUAUUUUGACAUUAAGCUACAUCAGAUGAAUAUUAAGUUAAUGGUUUCUCAAUGGUAUCAUUGAUCAUACAUUUAUAUUGUGCAAUUAAAAAUCUUUGUGUUUGAUGAUGCAAAGGUAAUGAUUUGCAGAUUAAAGAACUUCAUCUAUGUGCUUAAGUAAACUUCUCGUCAAUAAUAUUACAAAAUUUACCAAAUGAUUAUCUCAUUCGAUUUAGAGAUGAAUUUUGUUGAUAAUCGUAUAUACCAUAAGUUUAGUGGGAGUAAGGUUCUAUAUUUGGUUUUAUAUGUUAAUGACACACUGCUUGUCAAUAAUAAGUAUAGCCUCAAUCAAUGCCCUAUGAAUGAUUUUGAGAUUACAAAAAUGCAUAAGAUUUUUUACAUUUUAGCAAUGGAAAAUAUAAUGUACAUUCAGGUUUGUAUACAUUGGAAUAUUGUGUAUAUUAUUGGGAUGUUAGGCAGAUAUUUUAAGCAACCCUGGUUUGGACCAUUGGAUAGCAUCCAAAAGGGUUAUAAGGUAUUUUUAGAGAACAAAAGAUUACAGGCUCACAUAUCAGAGAUCUAAUUAGUUAGAGAUCAUCAGGUAUAUAAACUCCGAUUUUGAUGGAAUAUGGAUACAAGAUUUUGACAUUAAGGUGCAAAUUGUGAAAACAAAUUGCAGUCUUUUAUUCUAAUAGUAACAGGAGCACAUUAAAGUCAAAACACAUAGACUUUAAGUUUCUGGUUGUUAAAGUAAAAGUUUAGAGUGGUUAGGUGCUUAUAAAGCAUAUUAGGACAAACUCCAUGAUUGCGAAUCCGCUUACUAAGGAACUACACCUAAGGUUUUAUAAUAGUACAUUGCUCAUAUGGGUGUAAUGUCAUUUAAAGGAUACUUGGUUUUAGUGGGAGUUUGUAUUUUUAAAUGCUUUUAUGUUAUAGACACAUUUUUAGUUAUUUCAGUUUAAAGAUAAUAAGUUUAUUUUCUGCAGAAAUAAAGUUUAUUUGGUUUAUUCACACUCUGAUUUUGGUAAGGUUUGAUCUCACUAAGGAGGACCAGUUGGAAAUAGACAUGUUUAGAUCAUAUUGCAUGUAAUUUCCAUGCUACACAUCCAUACUUAAUCUAUGUCAUUUGGUUGUGUUAAUAUAUGUGAUCAUGGAUGGAUUUAGUUACGAUAUAUGUAACGAAAGUCACCUUGGUUCUAUGUUAACAUAAUUAAUGGACGAGAUUGUUGGUAUACCUUUUGGAUAUGAUAGUAAAAUUUUGAGCUCAUAAGGUUAUAUAAUGACAUGUAAUUAUAGAGUAAUUAGUAUAUAUAUGUGGUCCAAGUGGGAGAUUGUUGGAAAAUAUGGACAUCACAUAUAUAAUAAGGGUAAUUACAUGUUAUUAUUUACUAUCAUGAUAGGUUAGCCCAAAUUAAAAGUGAUCUAAUUUUGUUAAAAUUUUAUUGGGCUGUAAUUAUUAAAUAAAGUAUGGGUCAAAUAUGUGUAGAUACUCUAGUAAUUCAAUUCUAAUCAAAUUCUAAUUAAUGAUGGGCUAAUUAGAAUUUAAUUAGAAUUAAUAUGCCACAGUUAUAAAUAUUAGGGUUAUGGUCCUCAAAUUAUACAUAAGAUAUCUUUUCUAAUAUCCCAUCAUUAGGAAAGCGAGAGCAGAUAUUCUCUAAAUUUCUUGUGUGCUAAUUUGGAAGAUCAAAUUCCCAAGAUCUAGAAAGUUUCAAGGAAUCCAUGGAUUCAGGUACGCUUCUGCAUAUAGUUCUAUUAUUUAUUUAUUCUUGAUGAUUUGACAUGAUAGAUCCUAGUUUAUUAAGUUUUAUUUUAGAUUUAUUUUAUAAAUCUAACAUGCCUUCCAUAUAAAAAGCAUGUUGAACUCUUUUUGGCAUCAAAACAAUACCACUUCAAUAUUUUUAAAACUGGAUCGAUCAUUAAAUUGGGUCAAACUACUAAUUUUCAUCUUCAUAUAGUCGUAUAUUUUGAGUAUGCACAUAUGUAUUUAUAUUGUGGCAUAUGCAUGGAUAUGUGUGAUUAUAAAUUUCUAAAUGAUGUAUAUUUGUGCUCACAUAUAGUUGUGUGUAUAUACAUGUAUGUGUAUCAAGAUGAUGUUAUGUAUAGUCGUGUGUGUUUGAUUAUAUAAUAUGUUGAUGUAGGUAAAAAUAUCAUGGGGUUUAUGUAUUAAAAAUCGAAUUGUAUUCCGUUUCUUCUAUUCAAAAAAAGAAAAAUUAACUCUUGUAUGUUAAAAAAAAAGUGCAACCUUACGUUAAAUAAUUCACCGUUAAACGAUGACAUAAAAAAAAACAUGUAAAUACAUGAAGGCUUCGCGUAUGCCUCAUGUUGGCGUGGAAAUAUUUAAACAAAUUAAAAAAAUCAUAAAAAUAAAUUAAACAUAAUUUUAUAAUUAUUUUAAAAACUACCUCUAAGAUUAAAAUUUAUAAAAAGUUUUAAAAAUGAUAAAAAUGAUGUCCAAAUGAACCUGAGAUAAUGAUUGUUCAAGCUAGAAUGAAUCUAAACAACCAUAUGUCCAAAUUCAUUUUGAAGUGGUUUCUUAAAUUAUUCACAAAUUAUUAAGACUUAGAUUCUUAAAAAAGUUAUUUAAUUUUUAAGAUUUUUUAAGUUUUUAUAUAUUUACUAAUGUGGCAAAAGGCCAUACAAGCAUGAGGUACACGUGGUACAUUAUGUGUUUUAAUUCGGUUGCUCCGUUAAUCACGUCAUCACUAAACAAUAGAAAUAAAUUAAAUUUUUAAUAGAAGGUCAAUUUAUUUUCUAAUAUAACUUAUAUAAAUUAAUUUAUUAAUUUUAUUAAUGUAAUAUGCAAUCCACCUCCUAAUAUAUAAACUACUUUUAUGAUAAACUACUUUUAUGAUAGAUAUAUGUAGGUGAAAGCUUAAAAAUGAUAUGUUAUGUUUGAACAGUGUUGUGACAAUUCCAUUUUGCUUCAUUGCUUAUUUAUGUCAUUCACUCAUGGCAUCUUUUGUAUGUGCAUGUGUAUCGACUUGUGUUGAUGUUGUUAAAGCAUUUGUUUAAUUGAGAUUAAUGGGUAUUAAAAUGUUUUUUUUUUUAGAAAAAUAAAGCAACACUCGUGAAUUAAUUCGAUGGGAUUCUUUCACCAUGUUAGGUGGGAUUUUAUUAGUUUAUUAUUAUUAUUAUUAUUAUUAUUAAAAACAUGAUGUCAUUUUCUAAACAGAGUCUUCUUAUAUGAAAACUAUUUUUUUGAUUCUUUUUCCAUGCUAAGAUAUACUCAAAAAUUAUUUUGAAAUUUUUAAUUCACUAAAAUUGUUUUUUAUUAUAUCAAAUAGUUUAAUGAUUAAUAAGGUACAACUUAUAUGAGUAUUAUAAUUUUAGAUGUAAUCGAUUUACAAACUCAAAAUUUUCCUAAAUGUGCACAUAUCCUAAAUUUAUCUAUUUAAAAGAAAAAUAAAAAUCAAAAGGUAGGUACACAAUCGCAUCUAAUAAAACAAAUGAACGAGCAAAACGCAAAAUUUCCAAAAUCAUAUGGAAUCAUAUUGCACUAAGUCCUAACCCACUUGAUUUGUCCUUCACCUAACUACAAGUUGAAGGCUCGACUCCACCACCACUACCUACAUAUACAUACAUAGGUUGUUGAUCCUCAAUUUAGACAUUCCAAAUUUUACGGGGAUCUAAAGAAUCAGAUUUGGCAAGCAAACCAUGCUUAAAAUCAGGCUCUUUUGGAGGUUGGGUUAAUGGCCCAUUGCUUUGCCACUUGUUCUUUUCUUAUUGAAAGACUAUGCCAUUUAACGUAGAGAAAAUAACCUUUCACAAAGUCAAUUAUUUAUUAUUUCUUUCAUUUUUGGAGGUAGUUAAUCUUCCUCUCAUAUCUCAUUGUUGGAUGUGCAAGAGUUGGGGAAAAAAACACUAUAUUUAGAGUAUUUAACGUUGAAGCUAUUUGCCAAUCACGAUAUUACUUUAGUAAUAAAUUUGUGUGUUUCCAGUCAAUUGUUUUACAAAUUUUACAAUUAUGUUGAGACCUGAUUAAGGGUGAUAAGCUUUAAAUAGUAAAAUAGAUUAUGUUUAUACUAAUAUUAAGUGUUUAGAUGAGUUCCAUAUCGCAAGUUAAGUGACACCAACUCAAUUAUUAAAUUAAUAAAAGAAUCUUAAAUUUAAUUCAUACAUUUAUAUAAAUCUAUUCACAUUUAAAAGAACUACCCACUUAUUCUUUUAAAACACUAAAAUGUCUAUUCUUGUAGAACAUUUUUGUUUGCUCUUAUAGCAUGGUUUUUUUCUUGAAGCCUCAUUCUUUUUUUUUAUUUUCCUCAUUUUUUUACCAACCUCUAAGAAAGGUUCAUAAUGAAAAAUGAUAUAGUAGGUUUAAGCAUUAAGGAUGGUGAGGAGGAGGCAUGGCAAGUUAGUUCGAGAGAGGAUUAUUCAAGUCCAAACUAUAACCUUUUGUUUAGUCAGUAGUUUUCUAAUCAUAAGUAUUGUCCAUUUCCAAUCAAUGUGUGAUGGCAUGUUUAUUUUACAUAUUUUACGUGUUCAGAUCAUUUAAUUCUUGAAAUAAUUCCUACUAAAAUUAAAUUCUAUCACGAACAAAAUUCAGAUGCUUUAAUUUAAAAACAAGCAGAAAAGGAUUAAAUUGGAGCACAAGCAAUAAAAGAGGGGCCGAAUUAGAAAUUUAGAGAAAUUUAAGGGUUGGUCAUAUUUUUUAUUUUGUAAAAGUCAUAUUUAGCAAAAAAUCUUAUAUGAAUAUAAUUUCAUGUAACUGGCUGUUAGGUGAAUUAAGCUAAGUUUAGUACAUGAUAUAUAUAAAUAAGGUGUGUCGUAACCUUUAAAAAACACACUUGAAUACAUUGGAAAUUGAAUGAAAUUAUUUUUAUUCAUUUCUAUUUCAUGCCUCUAUAGCCAUUUCUUUUUCAUAAGGAUUGUGCCAUUUUUUUUUCAUUUCAUUUUUCUUUAUUUUUACAAAUUUGUUUAAUUAUUUUCCAAGACUCUUCCCUUUCCAUCUUCCAUAAUUUCCAUUAAAUCCACUUUCAUACUCCACUAAACUUCUACUUAGUUUCAGGACGGUAUUCUUUCCGAUCAAGAAUCAUGAGAAACUGAAUCCGUACUGAAAAUCUUACAUAACUGUAUUUACCAUCUCUCUAGAAUAUGGGUUAAAUUCAAUUCAAAAAGCAUGGUUGGGUUGGAGUUGUCUAAUGUACAGUUGGGAAGUCAAGUCGGUCGUGUUGUAUUCGAAUUCCUGCGAACAAAUUGGUGUAUCCUGGCUGGGUCAUACUAGAAGGAUUUUCGUCAAGGGAGAUAGUGAUCGGAUUUAAACGACCCACGCGGUUAAGGCCGUUGAUCCGAGCCGGGUUCUUCAGAACACAACGCUGCCACAGUCUUGAAUUGCAAACGCAUGUAUCGCGGUUAAACAAUAAGUAAGGGUUGGUUUGCAGGUCGUACUGGAAUCAACUACGAAAGGAAGAAUUGGCGAUUAGGUGUUAUUAGCUGCUAUAACCAUCUUAUUGUUUGGAGGAGAAAACUCAUUUUCAAGGGUUGAUUUAGAACUAGAAUUAACCAAGUCUAAGGCUAAGAAUUUAUAUUAUUGUUUACGAAGUUCAACUCAUUUACUUCCUUUAUUUUCGAUUAGUAUAGUUGUUAUUUGUUACUAUUUGAUUUUAUUUGCUUCCCAAACAUUUUCACUUCCCCCUUUAUUUACUUUAUUUUAUCAAGCUCGUCACUAGUCGUGGGCACGACUAUUAUCACAACAAUAAUUUUGCUCACAAGAAAAGGCAAAAUUAGACAACCAAUUCCUAUAGAAUCGACCCUAUUGCUCUAUAUUGCUAAUUCGCAUUAUUUUGUCAUAGGAAUUUUUAUUUGGUGGUUUUUACGCCCAUCAAUGCGCAAUACUUUAGUUAAUACACGGUAUUCUAUUGGUGGCAUUGGUAUUAUCAAUAUAGGGGAGAAAAAUUUUUGUUCAGGUUCCACUAGGAAGUGGAUUUAGAUAGGGCCAUCGAUGGUGAUCUUAAUACGUUUAAUAAUAAUCUUCUGGUGAUCCAUAGGCUAUCUGUUGGAAAAUCGGGUUUGAAAAACAUAACAAAAAAUAAGUUUAAGGGAAAAAUAAGAGUUUUAUUUUUUUCCCAAAAAUAAGAACUUGGUUGUGAGAUCUAAAGCAAUAAACAAUUAAUCAAAUUACAUUUUCGAUUCAUCUGGGAUGAACGCUUCAACGUACUAUUCUCCACUAUCCUCAAGCUCACGUCUGUCGAGUGUGAGCUUGCUUCGAAUUAGAAAUUUUUUCACAAAAUUACCUAUGACGUAAUUUCACAAUUUCUCUAAAAUUUUAGGUCAAGUUGUAAAUAAGAAAAAUAUCUCUAGAAAUCUUCUGAAAUAAUUUCUUUAGAGAAUUUUCUCUCUACAAUUUUUUCGUGAAUUUAAGUUUGUGAAAAAUAAUUACCAAAGACUCUCUUUAUAUAUAGAGAGUUUAAAGAGUUCAAUUAAGAUCAAACUUAAUCACUUUAAUAUUAAAUAUAUUAAAUUAAUAGAAUAUUUAUCUACAAGAUAAAUAUUAAAUUAAAUCCAAUAUUAAGAUAAGUAUUAAAUUAAAUUAAAUAUUAAAUUUAUUAAAAUAUUAUUAUUUUUGGAAUAGUUAGUCUGAAAUCAAAUUAUUCGGUAGAGUACCAGUAAGAGUGUGAUUCUUCCAUUGCUCAACCGUCAAAGAACCACCAUCGUCGAUCAUUUUUCAGCCAUCGAAAUUGUCGUUGUCGCAACCGCCAGCACCAACGUGCCCAAUGGUGUCAUCACAAGCGCGACACCGGUUCGUUCUGAGCUAGUGACGACCUAACCAAUCCAAUCCAGCCACCAUUUGGAGGCUAGGUUUCACAUAUCGGGUCUGAUUUGACCAGUUUUGGGUCUCAAUAUUUGGUUCUCGAUUCUAGUUUUCUAUCUCAAAUCCAAUUUUCAAGAUCAAUUACCUAUUGGGCCAAUUGUCUGACUUGAAAAUUAAUUUCCAAAAAUAUCAUAUUUAUUUUAAUUAAUUUGAUUUAUUUAAUUUUGCUUUAUUAAAAUUAAUUUUCCCAAAAAUCAUUGAGAUUUUUCAAAAUUAAUUUUUUAAGAAAAUUCUUUAAUCAAAUUCUCUACUUGAACAAUUUUCACGACUGUCCAAUUUAAUUCUAUAUCGAAUAAAUCGACUCAAUUAAAUUAUUUCUAAAGUUGUAAAAAAAAAUUUCUAUUUCAAAUAUAGUUCGAUCGAGCUUUUGUUAAGUUAGCGAAGGUACUAAUCUGACAUAUACAAUUAGGCUCUAGUAAUUGCAAUUAUGUCCAGAAGCAUCAUUCCGAUAAUUCGCAAUUUACUUAAUCAUGGAGUCAGUCCAUAAGAAGUACCAUGAUCGAAAACUUCCUAUUGUAUAAUUUUUACGAAAGCAAUUCAUCCAACAGCUUUAUCUAAUGACCACGUCUCGUGUGUGUUACCUUCAUAUGAUAUCUUUGAUUCCUUUGAAUUAAAUUUGUCUACUCAAUAAAAUCUUAUUUUAUCUCAUUAUCAUCAUUGUAUCUUCUUAAUGAUUAAUAUGAUCACUGUUAACAAAUGACUGUGAUACAUUGCUCGUUCGAGAAUAAGCAACCCGUGACCAUGUUCCAUAUUUAUCAACUCACACAAUGCCCAUGAGAGGAUACUGUUAACUCUUUAAUCGAGUUAUGAAUUCUAUUGUUGCUAGUAAAGUCACGCCAUACACAAGUCAUAUACCCAACAUUUUGGAUAUGCCAUAAUCUAGUAUAUAUUUAAAUAUUUGAUUGAGUUGGUGUCACGAGUUAAUCGAACACCAACUUAAUUGUGAUAUGACUAAAAAAAUUUCUACUUAAAAAGUAACAAAUAUUAUUAUCAGGGGCAAAGCUAGAACAAUUUUUUAGGGGGACCGGAUGAAAUUUUAAUUUUUUAUAGUUUAUAUCUUUAUAAUUUGUAAAUGAUUAAAUUGAAUUUUUAUAAUUUUAGGGAGGCUAAAGUGCAAUUUAACAUUUACUAAUUUAAAAUUUUUAAAAAAAAUUAAAGCCUAAAUAGUAAUUUUACAUUUUAGGGGGGGUCGAGGCCCAUGCCAGCCCCCUGCCUUCGCCCUUAAUUAUUAUAAGUAUUUGUUUUUUUUUUGUAAAAUCUACAAAAGCAACAAUAGCCCCUGCCUUCGCCCUUAAUUAUUAUAAGUAUUUGUUUUUUUUUUGUAAAAUCUACAAAAGCAACAAUUUAGACUAAAAAUAAAUCCAUAAAUGAUGCGACUUAAAUAUAGGAUACCAAAAUUCCCAAAGCAUAAAAUUUACCAUUUGGAGCAAAACAUUUUUUGUGUUUUUGCUUAAUCCACAAAUUGGUUCCUAAAUUAUAGUAUUUUCCCAUCUUGGUGCUUAAACUUUGUUUUUGUCAUAAGUUGCAUCUAAACUACUUUUUUCUACAAGUUGAUACCUUCCUCGAUCAAAUAGUUAGUCAAAUUGUUAAGUCUAUUUUAAAAUAGGUUUAAUAUACAAAUUAGUACCUAAACAUUUUUUUUUAUCACGAGUGGUACCAAAAUUAUUUUUUUCAAGUUGAUAAUUUUGUUAGUUCAAUCAUUAGUUAAGAUUGUUAAGUCUAUUUUUUUUAAAAUAUAACCAAUUAAAAAGUUGACACGUGGCAAAAAAGAAAAAAUAUUUUUUUCUCUUAUAAAUCUUUCUCUUUCCCUUUUUCUUUUUCUUUCUUAAGAAUUAGACCAAUGGUUGAAUUAGUCAUGCCACUAAUUCCUGAUUCAGUUUGUCUGAUUCAAUCAAAUAAAUUAUAUUAUUAUUUAUGUUAUUAUUUAAGUUUUUAAUGAAAUAUUCCAUUCAUCAGUAGCAUUUGAUUUAUGUUAUUAUUUAAGUUUUUGUUUAAGAUGAUUCACACAAAUCAAUCGGACAUAAAUUUAGCUAGAAAUUAAUUAAAAAUUUAUUAUUUUUACAAAAUAAUAAAUAUCAAUAUAGUGAUAUUUUUUUAAUAGACUAUUCAUUCCUUGAUGGUCCUCUCACCGAUUCGGUAGCAGAGGAUUUUCGAAGAUUCUCGGGUCAUUUUUGUAGGAGGGGUGGAAGAACAAAGGAAAGAGCAUCAAUUAUUCAUUUUUUGUAGGAAUCAAUGGGAAAAUCUGAAAUUGCUCAAGUGGGCUCUUCGGUGUAAUUUAGUCAAUCGCCUCUAAAAUAUCCUGUGGAAUUCGUAGGAAAAGCGUAAGAAUAAUUAAGAUUCCAGACAGAAUCCGAAAAUUAUCUUACGGACAGCCAUGUUGGUGGCAACUGCAGAUGAUUAGUCUGCAUGUUUACUUCUAAUUCUAAUUUACCAACCAAUUCGGAUUUUACAUCCUCAAGAGAAUCCAUAGCAAUUCAUUUUUCAUUUUUAUCCAUCCCUUCCAAUCCUGUAAGUCUGCUUGCUGCUCGCCCCUCUCUCUAAAGGGGCUUAUGUGUUUGAAAUUUCGCUACAAAGGAAGCAUUGUUACGAUCCAAGCCGACAACGAAGUCAGACUAUCUGCUGAGGAGGAGAUUAUUAACAUUGUGAAUAACCUUUCGCCGACUGAGGUGGAAGAAACCAUUGGGCCAUUCUCCGGCUAUCGAUUUCGAUAUGGAACUGCCCGUCUAUUGAGACGGAGAUUAAGCUUUGUUAUGUUGUGUACAGGCGCUCUUUGUUAACCCGUCUGGUGUGCAGCUGUAUGCCUGUGUAGGUGGUCCCCACGCGGGGAGCUCUUGGGCUUUUUUCGCUCGACCGCACCUACAUGAAGGAAGGUUUUUCUAAUUGAAUGCAUGGGUGGGUUUUCCGACUGGAUUGGGUUUGUGUCCUGUGACUGGCCUUUCUCUUGUUGUUGUGGAUUGCGUGCCCUCUUAGGAAAGGGCAGGAGAAGAGGAAAGAAAGAGUCAUUUUUUAAGGCUCUGUAAACACAAUCAAUAAAGAGUUUCGUUAGCGGUCUUCGAUUUUCAGAUUCGGUUUAGUGAGAAUAGCUCUAGUCUGAGAGCUUAAGCUAUUAGUUUAAAAGAAAAGUAUGGGCAGAGACUUUCUCUUUUCUUUAACCACAAUAGGGUUCAAGCCUACCGCGCAGAAAACAGAGAACAAGCAGGAGCAGAGCAGUCCACCGGCCAUCAAUUAUUUACUUACCUUGCCCGCGUUAGGAGAGGAGUGAACGGAGAAAAGAAGAGUUGUACCGAAGACUUUCUCUUAGCAUACAAGACAGAGUUCCCUUAGCCAUGCAGUGAGCGGUACUCCGUCAAUAGAGUCGACAAAGCAGUCAGAGGUAGUUACAAGUGAGAUAGAUAUGUAACUAACCUUGGUCCUCUUGUGAAUUGUGAAAUAUGUGCUAUUGAAGAAAUAUGUGUUAUAAAAAAAUAUAUGUUACAAAGCCAAGAUCGAGAACAAAGAAACUUGGUUCGAGAUCGAUAAGGAAAUGAAGCGCUGGGGGGGCUGUGGCCUCUGAAACCCAAAAGCGGCAGAAUGGAAUGGAAAAGGGGUGCUUUGGAUCGGGAGUAAGCACUAGUUUUAGGGCGGGGGGAAGGAAAAAUUUUCAAGAAGAUCUCGGGCUCGAUCUGGUUUUAGUAUCAAGGUGAUUCUAUUUUUGUUCCUAAAUAUAUGGGUCCGUGCAGCAUUUCCACGAUAUCGUUAUGAUCAAUUAAUGGGACUUGGCCGGAAAGUGUUCUUGCCUCUAUCAUUAGCUCGGGUAGUCCCCGUUUCUGGUGUUUUGGUCACCUUUUAAUGGCUCCCUUAAUUAUGUGCGAGGAAUUUCCCUCUUGAGUAAUGGGAAGCGGGCUAGUCCCCGAAAAUGCCCGUUCGCUUGUCGUUGGGGCUAAAAAUAUUCCUUGUUCGUUCACUGAGUGAAUUGACUGCCCCCUCCCGUGGAAGUAGAAGCUAGAAUAGGAGCUCUUUCACCUAGAAGAUCAACCACUGAUGGAUCAAAUAGAACCGGAUAAACUACUCGAUCAAUGGUUUCCGAAGAACCCUAGGCCACAUCUGGCCUGACUGCUUCCUCCACUAAUUGCCGGAAGAAGCCGGCCGUAAAAGAAAGAUCUUCUACUUCAACCUGGCUUCGGUUGACCCCCUGUCGGUGGUAGUAAGAGCAGAGUCUUAGGUUGGUGCUUGAAGUAAGGGUCAUCAAAGAGACGGAUUUCCUUUUUUGGAUUUGGUAAUCUAGCUAGACUUCCUGGUAUUCCAGUUUCUAGAAAGGGAGACAUGGCUAAUAAUAAAUAGUGCAGUAGCAAUAAAUGCUCGGUACUUCCAUAAUCUCAUCAUCUUGUUUUUUAUAUCCCUUCCCAGUGUCGAAUCACAAGAAGUUGGAGCGAAUCUUUGAUCUUUUAUUAGUAUUCCCCUUCCUUAGACUGGGACACAUACAUCGAGAAUCCAGUGUGCAAUUCAUUUUGAUAAGAUAGAUAGAUUGUCCCCAAUUAGUCAUAUAGGUUACACUAAAUCGGAGCUAGAAUAAAGGGUAGGUUGAAUCUUAAAAGUACCCUGCCGGGUACGGGUAACUAUGUUAAGUUAAUUACGUAUCAAAAAAAUCAAUUUUAUAUGCUCCUGGGAAAAAAAUUGUGCUACUCUAUUCGAUGGAUCAGGAACAAUCGAAAAAAGCCAGACCAGUACGGUAUCUCUUUAAAUCCUGAAUAUGGUGAUACCCCCGAUUGUACUAACCUACAUAUGUUUCUCCUCCAUCAAUCGGUACUAGUUAUUGUCAUUUGGAUUCCUUGACUUUCUUUGUCCUAUGAGAAAUGCGAAACGAAAGAAGGCUGGGAAUUAGAUCCUACUCUUUGUCUCUUCUUUUCUUUUUACAGAAAAUGAAGAGAUGAAUUGAUCGAUUCAUCGGAUCCUAGGUCGGGACUGACGGGGCUCGAACCCGCAGCUUCCGCCUUGACAGGGCGGUGCUCUGACCGAUUGAACUACAAUCCCAGGAAAAUUAGGUGUACAGCCUCAAAACUAUUAUUAUUUUUCUUAUUUUAUUGGAUUUCAUUCAAACCAUUUAGUUUCGCCGUGUUGUAACAGAGACACGAAUGAUAUACUUACUAUAUUAUUAUAAGAAAAUAUAUCUUUAUAAAUAUAAAUGCAGUAAAGUCAUAGUGGGCUAAUUCAUGAAUUGAAUCAAAUGGGCCCUUUAACUAAGCGGUAGAGUCGCGCUCUUUAAACGCCCUAAGAAAUAGGCGUAAGUCGUCGGUUCAAAUCCGAUAAAAAAAGGGCUUUUCUAUUUUUUACGAAACUCCUGUCUUAGUCUUCAUUUUCUUUUUCAGCAGAGAAUAUAGAUAUGAAAAAAAGGUAACCGCCUGCUGAGUAGUUUUUUUUUAGUUUUUAAGUAGAAUGUUCAUUAUGAUGAUAAGUAGUCGAUUAGGAGAAUUGCUAUGUCACUUAUGGUUGUUGCCUCAUCCUCAUGUUUUUAUUAUUCAGAUUUGUUGUUUUGGGACAUAGAUAUUCUAGAUACCCAUUAUGGAAUCGAUAAAGUCUUCCUACUUCUCCAUUGUUCCAAUCAGAUUCGAAAAAUGAGAAAGAAAGAAAAAGUAAGUGGACCUAAAAAAAAUCAUAACUAUAUAAGCUAUUCUGAUAUUAAGAUUCGAUAUAGAUGAAAUCGUGGAAGUGGACCUUUGAUUUCCUUGGACUACGUAAGAAUUCGUCGUCCGAUUUCAUCUUCUUGUUCUUGGAUGCUCUAUAGGAAUUUAUCGCUAUUCCUUUCCUCCACCGAGAAAGGUUCAUUCCGAGUCACAAGAGCAAUCUUUUUUUUUUUUUUUUCAUUUUGAUUCUUUCUUUUUGUAAUGGUAAUGCAAUGCAAGAGGUCGGAAAGAAAUAUGUGUUAUUGUAACUUGGUUAGUUACACAUAUCUAUAUGUUUUAAUUCCUUUCUACUUAUAACACAUAUGCUACACCGAAAGAUGGUUCUGGAGAGAAAUCCUACCCGCAACCAUUUGCUUAUAGAAUGGUGGAGGGAGGAAGAGGUAGCAAUACAUUCCGCCUGAUGCUUGAUCACAGCAUUCGGGAUAUAUCAAAUGAGCUCUUCGAUCUAUGAUGAAUAGUUCCUUUUUUUAUAGGAUCAUAUUUCUUUCUAGUCGUAAGCAUUUUAAUUGGACCUUUCUCCUUGGCUUCCUUUUUGGAAUAUUUUCAUCCGGGAUUGGAAUGACCUAUGUUGUAACGGAGGAGAGAAGGUGAACCAGCUUCCUUCAGUCUAUUACCUUUUAAAGCGGAUCCUUAUUUUACCUUCGGCCAGGGGGAGGAAUAAGUAAGAGACAUUAGUAGAGUUCGUUCUGUGUGGGACGGAAUCCUUCCUUUCCUGGCUAUCGUAACAACUGCUCCGUACUCCUAAGGAUCUCUAUGCCACUUGUGAUUCCCAGCCAAAGAGGCGCGAAGGUUAUGAAAUAAGAGGAAACUGUACAUUCAUAAUAAUAAGUAGAGUGCUAUUACUUAUAUUAUUUCAUUUUAUCUUUCAUCUAUAAUAACAUUAUAAUAUAAUAAUAACUUAUAUAUCUUAUUAUAAAUGAUGGCUCCUCAUCCGCAAACAACGGAUAUGACUAAAAAAAUUACAGCGGCAACAAUCACUCUAACUCCAGAUAUGGAGACAUUAGCCCCUAAUGGAACACUUACAAAAUUUGAUGCACCGCUUCCUCUUAUAAGACCGCUAAUGCCGCAUCUAAGAUCACGAGAUGGCAUGAGCUUCUUCAGUCCCACAGCUCUCUUCUAUAUUUUCCUUUUUUCUAUAAGGGAAUUGGCUGCCAUCAUUCAUUCCUAUCCCAUCCUUAGGUCAAUCAACGUAAUCCCGAACAGCUGAUUCUUAAGCAGGAAGCAGUCCCGUCCUUAGGCUAUUUGCCUUGUUAGGACAGACAGAAAGAAAUCCCCUCUUCCGCUUAAGGAAUAAAGAACAGUUGAGAAUGGUCUGUUCACAUGAAAAAAUCGUCUCUUUGACACUUGUACUAUAUCUAACGUAUUCUAGCCUUCGUCGAAAACAAGCCCAAGGAAUUAUCCUCUCCCAGGAUUCUAGAGAAAGGCUUAGCCUAAAGUCAAGCUAUAGGCCGAGUCAUGCAUUUCUUUUUAGUCAUAAGUGCUCCCAUGCAGUUGUAUAGGCUGAAUUUUAUUCUAUUUAUGACAUAGGUUUCCUUCCUUACAUAGCCAGUUGUUUUAGUGCUAUCUAGUUGAAGAAUUUCUUCAACUAUUUUUCUGGGUUUUGAGUUCUAGUUGUAUAAGUGGAAAUCUCCUUUUUUGGUGAUCCAUACGAUCAAUCGAAUGCAGUCGAUAGGAGAUAAUGGGGUGCAGGCUAGUUAUCAAGAAAGACCAGAAAGUACUAUAGGCAAGCAGUUUAUAGGAUUCUUCUGGGGCAAUGAAGUCAGUAAGCAAGGAAGUUUGAAAGCAGUUUUCAAGCCAGAAGGAGCUAGGAAUAAACUAAAUAAAAGUAGGGGUUUCUUUGGGAGUUCUGUUACAGCCAAGCAAGAAACCUUUAAGCCAUUUUUGAGUUCUCUUAGGAGAAAGCUUGGGAGUUCUCUUAUACGCAGUGGGUGCCCUUUUAAAGCCUUUACAUCAGUCCCCCGGAAAAGAAAAGUCAGCCAGCUCUCUAUCUUGUUUAUAAUAAAAUGGUUGUAUUAUUAUAACUUAGAAAUUAUUUUAUCCUAUUUUUAUAAUAAUAAUUUUUAGUAAAAUAAUGAUUUAGUAAAAUCAUUCGUAUGUUCAUCGAAAGGUACAGUUAGGUGGAAUCUCGUCCUGAAGCAAAGGAUCUGUAUUAGUCAUCAAAUCCAGGGUAUGGUGGAGUAGUCCCAGUUUGCGAAGUCUCUCAUCGCCUUGAUUAAAGAGUGGUGGGUCAGGGAAGUUAAAAGGCUAGAGUAAGCAAGGUUCUUUCUCCCACGGGGAAGGUUGUCUUUUAAGCCAGUCUUCAGUCAGCCUAGGGGCCUUUGAGGAGUAGGGAAGGUGAUAGCGUAAGAUAGCAAACUGGCGCUAGAGCAAGAGUAAGGAAGUACGAUAGAGCUCUUUUCAGUCCCCUAGGAUAUUCAAAGUAGAGAGUCAGGUUACGUACUAAGCAGGCGGCCAACGCUCUAACCUAUAACCGGUCUUGAGAGUGAGUAAGUUAACCCAGUAAGGGUAGAGUCCACAAACCAUCUAAGCCUGUACCCCGCUAGCAAGUAGUUAAUAACUAAACCCCUGGGAGAAUCAAUAGAAGUAUGGAAAGAGUAGCUUCCGCUUUUGGACCUUUGAUUAAUUAACAUCUCUUUUGUUUAUUGACCUCUUAACCCUAAAAAAUAAAAUGGAGGUCAAAUUCAAACUUUAGACUGCUGUUCAAUUAUUUCAUUGUCAUUCUUGAUCUAACAAGAAUGGAAUCACGCUCUGUAGGAUUUGAACCUACGACAUCGGGUUUUGGAGACCCGCGUUCUACCGAACUGAACUAAGAGCGCUUUUUAUUUUCAUAAUAAAAACAUAAUAAUAAUAAAUUUUAUGUGACCCCAAUACAUCUUGCACAUUUCCGAGUCAGUCAAUGAAGAUGAGCUUCAUGCCGCUUGAACGAAAGAGGAAGCAGCGAUAGCAACUCGCCCUGAGGGAGAUCAACCAGCAACUAGAUUGACUGGCAUGGAGCCUGAUUCACUCGCCCCCGGAAUGUCUUCUUUUCGCCCAUUUAGUCUUCCCCCGGUUGUAGGAGCAGUGAUUGACUAUCUUUCAGAAAGUAAUAAUGCUUAAUAGAGCGAAAAGAAAUAUACUAGGAAUAUCUAAAAUAUCUAGAUAAAAUAUAGAUAAAAUAUAGAUUGAUUCCUGUUGAUAUUAUUGUUAUAAUAAUAUCUAGAUAAAAUAUAGAUUGAUUCCUGCUGGAUGCACUUGGAACGUUUAGUUCAAUUGCUGCUCACGAAAUUGUUACAUAUAGCUCGCCCUUAUAGCUUAUGGGGCACUUCACUCGCUCAACACUCGUUCUUCACUCGCUAGAGAAAGAAAAAGUAUAGAUGACUGAAAAUUUCGCUUAGAGAUCGCAACUAUAGUGGAGAGAAAAUAAGUAUAAGCAGGCACUAAAGGGGAAGCUUAGAGACGGAAUUCAAAUAUAAGAAUAGAGGAGUACGUGGGGGUGAAGUAAAUAUAACUCUAGCAAUAUAGACCGGGCCUGCUUCCCAUUCAUUCUUUUAUAAGAAUUCUCUUCGGCUGGUCAAUAGGGCGCAUCGCUUUUGCUUCUGUAAUAGAGGCGCUGUAAUAGGCGCGCUUAGCUAACGAAUAAAAACCUUGGUCCGCUUUCAUUGGUCUAGCCCGAUCAUUGCUUAUCUCUUUCUUCUCUAUCGGUGAAUUGGGGGCAAGAGUGCUUGAAGAGAGAGCUACCCGAAGGAGGAGCAGUAUACGCAGGUUUUUCUACUUAAUUAAGCUAGUUAUGCAAAGUUUUUAAAUUUGUUCACAUAGGCAGCGUGAUUGGGGGGCAUAUUUGUUGCUUCCUAAGGUAGUUAGUUCACCACACAAGCAUGUUAGUACUAAACUGCAGAAAACUAUUAAUUCAUCCAAUUCAUGCCGCAUUGCGAGAUUACUCUACCACUCUAUAAAUGGAGGCUCGAUAAGUGUCAUAGAUUAUUAUUAUAAACAAGAUAGAGAGCUAGAGCUGCGGAAUAAAUAAUAGGAGUGUUAAUAACUAUAUAUUAUGGACAAAAUAAUAGAGAUAGGGGACCAUCCUUUUGUUGCGGCAUGCUCCUCAGAUUUACAGAUUCGUAGGGGGCCUCAGGCCCUACUUAGUUGACUGACAAUGGCAAAGGCUUUCGAAACUAAGCUAAGUAGGGCCUUUUUGAAUUGAAUUUUAAGUAGUCUAUCAGUGGUGCGAAGCAGUUUUGCCCCUUUUCAGUAGGGGAGCGAAAGGUUAGACCAAUGAAAAGAGGGCUCAGGCAUAACAUAAGGACGAUAUCGGAAUGUCUGAAUCCGAAGCUCCCGCCGAUAGAAUGAGAAGUGAGGAGCCAACCUAGCUAAGGCAAUAUCCCAAAGUAAGGGCAGCUAACUGUGUAGAUAGAUGCUCUUUCCUCUUGCGGGAAAGCUAUUCCUUGAGUUGAGAUGCUACUGCUUCGAUUAGAUGGUUAGCUUAGUAGAUGCUUUCUUGUAGCUCUACCUUUUAAAAAGCACUUCUCUUGCAUUAUUGAGUUAGUUUUUUUGUCUUGUAGCUACUACCGAUAUGCUAUGCAAGUGGUAGAAGUGGUGCUAUUAAUUCAGUGCUAAGCACUCAGCUCGCUCAGGGCUUGGAAGACCCUAUCAAGUUAUUAUAAUACUGACUCAUAGCAUAACCUAUGAGUUAUUAUUAUACAUAAAUGUUAUUAUGGAGGUUAAGACUCCUAGCUUAUCUCUAUAUUAUUUACAUCUACUUAUAUUGACAUAAGCAAUUGGAUGUAUAAAAGACUAUUUACAUCUAUAAUAACAGUAAUAAUAACUAAUUUCGUAGAUGUGGGCUGGAGAGUUUUGUUCUGUCGCAAAAAAAAAAAAGACCAGGAAGUAUAAUAAGAAAGAAGUCUUUCAAUCAUUCGGCCGAUAGCUUAUCCUUCAUUUGAAGUAAGCUGGACUUCAAGUAAAACGGCAGCAAAGGGACCCACUUCACCUCUUCCCUUUCCCUGGCCAACCGAACUGCAUCUCAAGAAUGCGAUGCGGCACUAGAUUCAAGAAGCUACUAAAAUUGCGUACGCGUAGAUUAUAUAGUAUAGACUCAAGCCGCUCCAAUCUUCUAUUGCAAGUCCUUCUUCACUGGAAGGAUGGAACCCUGAUUGGUAUGCCAACAUUUUAUCUGGACUGGAUAGGUUGACCUAUUGGAAGGAAAGUCCUCUUAUCUGUUAACAGGCUGGCCUUAUUUUCAUUGAUCAGUCGGCGCCGGCAUCUCAAUGGUGAGCAAUUCUAUCCUAAAUGGUGUAGCUUCUUUCCCUCUUUGCUUAUGUUGUGCCUGUGCCGAUGCCUAUAGUUAAAAAGAAAGGAAAGACUCAAAUCUCUUCGAAUAGGAAUCCAUUUUCUGAAAGAUCCUGGCUUUCGUGCUUUGGUGAGACCUCCGAGCCCCUUUCGACGACCUAUGUUGUGUUGAAGGGAUAUCUAUAUGAUCCGGCUAAUUGGGUAAAGCCCGCGCUAGUAACAGAACCGGGGAAAGUAUACAGAAAAGAUAGUUCUAUUUCUUGAUGGGGGCCAGGGAAGGGAUAUAACUCUGUAGUAGAGUGUCAUCUUGACGCGGAGGUGGUCAUCAGUUCGAGUCAGAUUAUCCCUAAACCCAAUGUGAGUUUUUCUUUUGCCUUGCGCAUCUGAGCUGCUUUGAGUGCCGGUACUAGCAAUUGAGAUGGCAACAUUCGAAUCAGCGGUGAGAGAGGGAGCCAACGCACUGACAGGGGGAGCAGCAUGGAAAGCGAGGCUCCACACCCUUCUCCGUGGGCUUUAGGAAUCGAAACCGGACCAAGCUCGCACACAAGCCUGCUACCAAGCAAGAGCAAAAAAAGGAAUAUGUUGAUUGAAUUGGGACAGGAAACCAUCAUAAGCCAGCCAACAAGCCUAACCGUCCCUAUGUCAUCGGGGUCAGAUACCAUGUAGCCUUUCUUUCUUCCCUUCACAAGCCAAGUACAAGACAUACCGGGAGUACAAGCGCUUGACCAUAGGAAGAAGGAAGAGGACGCUGCUCUGACAUAAGUGAUUGGAAGAUAUGAAUAAUAACUUAUAUUUACAUCUAUAAUAACUUUUAUAAUAACUAAUUUUGUGACUAAUCUAUAAUGACUGAUAGAUGUAAAUAAUAACUUACAGCAAGAGAGAAUCAAAGGUACGCAGGUGAGCCCCCGAGAAAUGGACGUAUAGCCGGGGAUAGAGUUGGACCCUUUACUUCAACACUUAACAGAUUUCAUAUCGCUUACAAAGAACAUCAGGAUGAAGUCCAAGGCAAAAGGAUUCGGGCUAGUUAAGGUCCAUCCUUCAACUAAGAAAGGGCUCGCCUUUCUUUCAAGAGAGAUUUGCUCUUCUUCGAUAGAAGGGCUAUUUACUCUUGUUCUCAACUUGUGGUCGAGGUUUACAUUUUAUCGAAAUCAAAUUCUAUUAAAGAAAGCUAACAUAACGAUUGGUUAAAGAAAUCCUUACCGAUGGGACUUUUACUUCCUUUCCCAAUUGGAUGGCCUCUCGAACAUAAGGAGUGGAGAAGAAGGUGCUAUUGCUGAUGAUUCCAUUGAUGGGACUAGGUAUCCAUCCCAUCUAUCCGCUGGCUAAUAAUAACUUAUAUAUUAUUAUAAUAAGAUAAGGAUGAGUUUAUCUCUAUAUAAUAUAUAAGAUAAAAUUCUUAUAUAUUUUAUCCCAGAUGCUCUGUCGAGGAUGAGGAGCCAUCACUCUGACUAGCAGAACAGAACAAGGACCUUCUCUGAUGACGCAACCUUCAAGAAGGGAAUUCAGAAUCAUAAGACGACUUUGCAACAAAGAGAAAAAGAGUGCUUUCUUAGAAAAGAAAGAGAGAUUGGCAUUCCUCCGAUCAGCAUGAGAGCUCGAUCCAGCUGAAAGCGAUCCCUCAAAAAGUCCUUAUAAACGGGCUGCUCCUCUAUGUGCUCCGAGACCCUCUCCUUGCUCGAGGGAAGAUGUGCGGUUCUCUGCUUCAGUCGCGGGCUGAACACAGGAAUUCCAAGCAAAGAAAGAUGAUUCAGUGGAGUAAUACACUGUGUGGGACGGAGUAAGGGCCCACCUACCUUUUUUCAGGGCCAGAUCUUGAUGUAGAAAGGCAAUCUUGACUUCAGCCUUGAGGUGGGCUAACUCUUGAAGCGGAUCAAUUCCUUUGUAUCGAGGGACUGGCGAUUGUGGUGUCUUCGCAUCCCCGUAGCAGUGAAGCUCUCUCUUGUUCUGGUUGAAAGUGAAGGCGAAGGAGAGUGAAGUGAAUCAGGGGAUCUGGAUCAGGAUGCGGAGUUUGAGCUGCGGGGUGAGGGAGAGAUGUCUAUGUCUAUCCCAUCCCUUCUUUGGUUCAGUCUUUGGUAGUAGGUGCGAUAUUGAAGGAGUUCAGGGCUAAGGGCUGGAGCUUUAUUCCCGCAGAUGCGGCUUGCAACUCCUACUCGAGCUUAUGAACCUAUUUCAUACCCUUGCCCUUGGCUUGCCCUUUCUUCUGGUCGAUUGAUGAACUUGCCUUCAUUGAUGAACGAGCUUUCGUCUUUUCCUGGCGUUCUUCUCUUUCUCCCUGAAAGUGCUAUUCUUUAUCUAAUCUAUAAGGAACCAAUCUUAAGGUCUAUUGCAAUCAUUCACAUAAUAACCGAUCUUAUGUCUAAUUUUAUACAUAAAUAAUGAUUCUCUCUGACAUCUGCGUUGGUAUAAUAUAUAUUAUAUUUUAUUAUAAAAUAUACUAUCAGUCACUCAACUAAUCCACUUGUGGAGUGCUAGUGGUAUAGUAGUAGUGUGGUAGUUGAGACUCCGCCCCUAUCACUUAAACUUAAAGGCAGGCCCGCCCAAGGAAGAAAGAACAACCAGGGCUAUAUUCGUGCAACAGCGCUUACAGCAGCUCGUAGCUAUUGUAUGCAUGGGAGUGACGAGGUAUUGAUUGCACUUUUUUUAGAAGCUCAUUGUUUCUCUCGCGGUAGUGCGCUUACGGCGUGCUUCCUUUCUCUCUGUUGGGUCAUUCUACAUACGGGCUAGUCUUUUAUUAGAAAUUCUUUCUCUCCUUUCUUUCGGAGCCAUUUCCUUCGCCCUUUCUUGUUAGUGUUGGGCAUCUCCCUCUCGUCCUAUUGUGGUAAGUUCACUGUCAAGUCUUGGAAGUUAGGGUUUUGCAAUCAUUCCAAUACCUCUAGUCUUGGCAGUUUCAUUAAGCCAUUCUGCUAUCAUUCUAGUUGUUAGUGAAGUGACUGCCAUUGUUGAUGUUCGAUCGUGUAACUGUAACAGGAUAAGAAAGAGACUAUUGCUGUGUCUUAUUAUAAAUGUUAUUAUAAAUGAUGUAAAUAAUAUAUAAGUAAAAAAUAUAUCUUAUUUUAUAAUAGUUAUAAUAACCUCUCCUAUUAAUAAAGAACCUUAGAUAAAGGGAUUCCUCCCAUUGACUGAAGUGAAGAGUCAACCUUCUACACAAGGUAAUCUUCUGAUAGAGGGGAAGAGGCAGAGCACAACCUGGCACAAGAUGCGCUGGUAUUGCAAAGGCAGGAAUGAGUUCACAAUGUUCGAAUAAGCUACUCAACUAACUAAAGCUAAAAGGAGAAAGGGAGAUGACUCUAGUUGUUGAGUACCCGGAGGAAGGUACCAGAUCGACUUCUAGUUGUAGCGGAUCUUACUUACAUCGGUUCUAGCGCUUUCUCUUGAUUCUAUUUUUGAAAGAUCUUUCCUUGCUCUGAGGAAUGCCCGGUUUAACCAGAAUUAUCUCGUUAGAACUUUAACUCCCUAUCUAUACUAUAACAUAACCUCGAGCCUCUUUCUUAUUUCUGUGCAGCAGGAAGCGAUUCGUUGAUUGAUGGGAUAAGCACGCUGUGGAAUCGAACCACAGUCUUUUUCCUUAUGUGGCGAAAGUCGAGAGUUAAAAUAUAGACUCGAAAGCAUACGCCUGUUAGAAGUGAUCCCCGCCUCCCUUUUUUGGAGUCAUCGUCUUUAAUUUUUCGCUUCAGAUCUGAAGCUGAUAGGCUUAAGGUUCUCACCGGAGGCCCUUGCCCUUAGUCUAUCGCCGGCCAAGUCCUAGGACUUGAUCGGUGUUUAGGCAGUGCUAAGAUCGUACGAUAUUUAAAUAUUUGAGCAGGAAUUUUUCCCAGGCUACGUUUUAGGGUGGUAAUUGGUUGCUUGGUCGAGCAGCUGCCCUUGGCAAGGAAGGAAAAGGAUGUCGCUUCUGAAAAGGAGGCGGAAAGCCGUAGAAGAGAUAGCAAGGACCAGGUACAGGGCACAUCAGGGACUCUCCCUCGCCUUGGAACCACCUUAGUCUUUUUGGGGAUCAAGAUCUUUGUGACUCUGCAGAACUUAACUUUUCUUAGAGGAUCAGCACGGCACAUUAUUCGGAUUCGGAGGUUUAGGUUUCAAACUUUUGGAGAGACAUAUUUUGUUAGGAAAGCCUUCUAUCGGCGGCGGGAGUCAACCAUCCGAGCGAGAGGUCAGACCAAUAAUCCCAUUCACCCUGGUCCAAUUCGAAUGGAUCUUGUUGAAUGAAUUGAUCCAUUGUUGUAUGCCUUACUUCUUAGUGCAUUUUUUCCUACUCGGACCCGCCGUACUUCCUUUGAGUACUGCUGAGAGAUAUAGUGGAAACAUUUUGUUAUGGUGGAGAGUGGAGAGUGAAAACACCAAUGCCUUUCUACCUAUGUUUUUGGUAUAAUAAUUGGCCAUACCAUCCUACUUAUUUCUUUACUCUGUACUGAGCAAGAAAAAACUGUACUGAUUAGCAAGCAGGAAAACUGUACCAAGAAUCUUACUCGAUCGAGUUCCCUUCUUUUCUCCCUGGGAGCCUACUCCAGUGCCCCAGUAGAGGUAGGCCCAGCCCAGGCUUGUGCAGUUAAGGUUGUUAUACAUGAUCUCAAAACAACAAAUAGGAAUGAAACGGCUAUAGUUCUUAUAUGAACUACUGGGAGGUCCCACUAUCUAAUAUAAAGAGUAGGCCACCUAAAAGAAGGUCUGAUUGAGCACUUUCUUCACCCGAUCUUAUGUCUGCAAGAUAAAGAUCAGACAUCACAUUACUUCCGCUAUUUGCAGAGAUGUCUUUGAAGUUGAAGGCAGGUGCCAAGUAAUAUGCUUACCUCGAUCAUUCAUUACAUAUGAUAUAUCGAGAGUUCAAGAUCAUAACGUAAUUCAUUUAGAGAAUGCCGAUGAGAAAGUAGAUCUGGUUCCGAGAUCUGGAAAACUGUGAAUACAGUUAGUGAAGCUAGACCGGGAAGUGGGGUAUCCCUGGAAAAGAAAGAGGUCUGAAGACUCGAUGGCUAUUAAGCCCAGUGAAUAACCUAAUUCAGAGAGAUAACCCGGUCUUUAGACACUCGCCCUACUUCUAAAGAUAGAUAGAAAAGGUUGGAGAGUCCCAGCUACUGAGGUGGCGUAGUGACAGGUGAGAGCAAUAAUAACAAAAGCAGCGGAAGAUCCUGCAGUAGUAUAUUCGGUUGUUUGCGGUGGAAUAGAAAAAAGCGUCCGGGCCAGUAGAUCCAGAGCAAAUAGGCGUUGACUUAGUUGACAUGUUUUCAUGUCUUCUACAUCUAUAACUAACAAGGAAUUAAUUGCAUUCUUGAAUGCUAUUCCAUUUCCACUCUCUUUGAGAGAGGUUACAAGAAAACCAUCAUAAAAAAUGCCACCUUACUGAACUUGAAUUUCACCCGAGAAUCGGGGGUAAAGGUGACUGAACUACUUUUUGUUAAUUUCUUCUAAUCUCCCAGGCGACCGAGUGCUCCAUGAAUAAUGAGCGCUUGCUGCUCCACCCGCAGCGCUUGUUGCCUCUCCUCCAAACCCUUUAUGCGCUCUCUGGUAGCGCGAAUGCGCGCUUCUAGGCCGAUUCUCACUUCUUCAACAAAAAAAUAAAAUAAGUACUUUCGCCGAGCUCUUAUACUCAAGGAAGAAGAAAAUGGUUUGACAUCGCUCCUGCAAGACAAAGACUUAAUAAAGAAGCGACGGAGAAAGAAAGAAGAAAGAUAAAUAAAAAUCCGCACUUUCUGCAGCAUGAGUUUAAAAGGCUAAAGUAAAAGGAAAGGGCCCUAACACCACCCACUUAUUACACUUCAAAUCCUCAAGGGAAAGAUAAAUCAUCAGAGACUGCGCUCACCAAAGAAAGACGCAGACACAUUCACCACUCAAGGGCAAAGAUCACAGCAGUACUUGCUAAAGUCCCCUAUCCUGAACGUGUGCUAUGUAGAAAGUAGUUAGCUGCUCCUCCUCGCCUAGGAGGGCCAAUUGAUUGACCGAUAGCAUGUGAAUUAGAAAGGCAAGCUAAACAAGCAAGUCAGCCCGUCUGUCUUCAACAAAGAAACUUAAAACGCAGGAACUCCGAUCGGUAAAUGAGCUACCCCUCUUAAGAUUAGGUCUCGCAUUCUUUCAUCGGGCUCUGGGUGAACGGAUCCUUUAAUUGACCUCGGGAACAUGAAGGGGGUAGGACGUAUGUCGAAAGGGACGGAACUCGUUCUGUACGGGAAGAAAAAGUAGCUAUGAAAAAACCCAUGCAUUUAUUUGAUGAUAACUCGAAGACGCUUUCAAGUGAGUGAACCCCUAAGGUAGUUCAGUGAUCUUCGUGAAUGAAACUAGUUCAAUGAACCUAUAACGCCUCCUUUUUCUUUUUUAGAAUUGUUCCAGUCUAAGGCCUAAUCCUUCCCAAAGGAUACAUGGAUGAGGAUCAAGACGGGUAUGCUUAAUGCAACUAUUCUAAGUUUCAGGUCAAUAACAAGGCCCCUUUUUUACUUCUUUUCCAUCCCUGCUUGGACCUGACAUUCAAUUAACAUUAGCAAGCCCUGUCGUCCUAAGUGAGUUAGAAUUCGAAUUAGAAUAAAAUAAGAGGGAGGAUUUUCUUGUGUGACACUAUUUCAAGCCAUAAGAUAGGGAAAUCUUUCCACUAAUUACACGGAUUGGAUUUCAUUUAGUACAACGAGUUCUUGCUCAAGGAAAAAUGUCCUAGGACUGCCUAAACACUUUAUUAGAAAAAAUAGAAAGAAACUCCGUUUUGCUUGUAUGACCGAAAAAAAAGUACUCCUAUUAAAUCGAUCUCUUGCAUCCAAAGUCUCUUUUUGUCGGGAGGCACACAUCUUCGUAAAGGCUGUGGCAUCUAUCGAAUUAUCUUUCUCACCGACUCGAGAAAUUCAAUUCAAGGGAAUCCUUAAUCGAGGCUUAGAUUCCAUUAUCUUAUGUUCAGUUAUAGAGGCUCAUCUUUCAUUGAUAGGAAUGCGGGUAUUUUACCCGCACUUGGCAUUCCAGACUUUUCUUGCACAAGCCAUUCUAAGAGCACCAUUCAAGCCUUAGCCUUUUCAAAAG
rnacentral:lncRNA from 1 species